CCAACAACAUCUAGCUGAUAGAUGCUCCAAAUAUUCUGUGUAGCCAAGAAAAUCAUCAAGCAAAAUAUCUCCAUAUGUGCUACAGGAGCACAUACCUCAUCGUAGUCAAUUCCGGCUUACUGUUUGUAGCCUUUAGCUAUUAAUCGAGCCUUGUAUUUCUUCACCUUUUCUUUUGCAUUCUUAUUUACCUUGUACACUCAUUUCACUUCGAUGGCCUCAUGACCUUCUGGAAGAGUAGUAAGCUCCCAUGUGUCAUUCUUUUGGAUUGCCUUCAUCUCUUCAUCCAUGGCCGUCCUCUAGUUUUUAUUCUUCACUGCUUCUUCAAAAGAGAUUACAUUCUCAUUAGUAUAUAAACAAAUGAGAUUAAGGAGAUUUGUCACCUCAUAGAGAUUUUGAAUGCUUCUUGUUUUUCUGAAUUCUUCACUUGAAGAUGGAGAUCUCAUGCUAGGUGAUGAAGGAGGUGUGGAAUCUUCAACUUGAGCCAUCACUUGUUCAUCUUCUUACAGCUCUAUUAUGUUGGUGCUCCAAUUCCAAAUUCCUUCUUCGUUGAACUUCACAUCAUGGCCUAUGAGGAUCUUCUUCGCCUUUGGGUCAUAGAGUUUUUACUUCUUGGAUCUCUAAUCAUAUCCUAUAAAGAUGCAAGGAUAACUCUUGUUAUCAAGCUUACUUCUCCUUUGAUCUGGGAUGUACGCAUAGGCAAUGCAACCAAAUACCCUCAAAUGAGAUACAUCUGGCUUAUAGCCAUUCCAUACUUCUUGAGGGGUCCUUCCUUCAAGAUUCUUUGUUGGGCAGCAGUUGAGAAUGUAGAUCGCACAAUUCACAGCUUCCGUCCAAAACUCUUUUGGUAUUUCCUUCAUCUUCAACAUGCUUCUCACCAUGUCAAGAAUGGUCCAGUUCUUCCUCUCUGCUACGCUGUUCUGCUGGGGUGAGUAUGGUGUAGUCAAGAUCCUCCAAAUACUUUGAGAUUUACAGAACUCCUCGAAUGCCUUCAAGGUGAACCCUCCUCGAUCUGAUCUCAAAGCUUUGAUUUUGCACCUAAUUUGGUUCUCCACAAGAGCUUUGAAUCUUUUGAAUGUCUCCAGGGCCUCCCAUUUUUUCUUCAAGAGGUACACCCAAGUUUUUCUGCUAAAAUCAUCAAUAAAUAUUAGAAAAUAAUGACGACCUCUAAAUUAGGCUAGUGUGAUGGGAUCACAAAUAUCUGUAUGGAUAAGUUGCAAAGGCCUUUGAGCUUGAUGAAAUGACUCCUUUGGGAAGCUAGCUCUUGAGUGUUUUCUGACAAUACAUCCUUCACAUAUUCCUUCAAGGAUAUCCUUAAUGAGAGGUGAUCCCUUCACCAUCACCUUCAAGGAUAAGAGCUUCAAGGAACCAAAGUUCACAUGCCCGAACCUCAAGUGCCAUAGCCAUGUGUCGUCUUUUAUGCAUGCACUCAAGCAUUUUGUCACAACAUACUUGAUGUCAAACAUGAACAUUCAGUUCUUGGUCAUAGGUACUUUUGCAAUCAGCUGAUCAUGUUUUUUCAAGUAAAGGUAUCUACCUUUCAUGACAACAUCAAAUUUUUUUUCUAAUAAUUGACCAAGACUCAAGAUAUUUGUUUUCAUAUCAGGCAUAUAGUAAACAUUAGAAAUGAACUAUUAAGAACCAUCCUUGAGUUAAAUUAGGAUUUUACCUAUCCCCUUCACUUGAACUUUUGAGGUAUCACCGAAAGAAACAUUGCCUUCCACUAUCUCAUCUAACUUUUUGAAGGUGUGUUUGUACCCACACAUAUGAUUGCUUGCAUCGGUAUCCAAGUACCAUAUGUUCUCAUUGGAGGCUUCUUCUCCCUUCUCUGUAAGUAGUAGCAUACCAUCUUCUCCUUCCUCCUCCUUUGCAUAGUUGACCUUCUCAUGCAUUUGGUUAUUCUCAUUAUGGUAAUAUUCUGAGGAGUAAUGACCAUAUUUACCAUAAGUAUAACAUCUAAUUUUACUUUUGUCAUACCUUCAUGUUCUUGAGAAACCUCUUUGCCCUCUUCCACCAAAGGGACCUUGUGUGCUUUCUUCAUUAGGUGGAACUCUUGGACCUCCUCUUCCUAUGCCACAUCCAAAGGAACCUCGUCCUCAUCCACAGCCUCAUCCACAACCAUAUCCACAGGUAUAACCAUGAUCGCAACUUAUCUGACUACUUUUGCUAGUUGGGCCNNNNNNNNNNNNNNNNNNNNNNNNNNNNNNNNNNNNNNNNNNNNNNNNNNNNNNNNNNNNNNNNNNNNNNNNNNNNNNNNNNNNNNNNNNNNNNNNNNNNNNNNNNNNNNNNNNNNNNNNNNNNNNNNNNNNNNNNNNNNNNNNNNNNNNNNNNNNNNNNNNNNNNNNNNNNNNNNNNNNNNNNNNNNNNNNNNNNNNNNNNNNNNNNNNNNNNNNNNNNNNNNNNNNNNNNNNNNNNNNNNNNNNNNNNNNNNNNNNNNNNNNNNNNNNNNNNNNNNNNNNNNNNNNNNNNNNNNNNNNNNNNNNNNNNNNNNNNNNNNNNNNNNNNNNNNNNNNNNNNNNNNNNNNNNNNNNNNNNNNNNNNNNNNNNNNNNNNNNNNNNNNNNNNNNNNNNNNNNNNNNNNNNNNNNNNNNNNNNNNNNNNNNNNNNNNNNNNNNNNNNNNNNNNNNNNNNNNNNNNNNNNNNNNNNNNNNNNNNNNNNNNNNNNNNNNNNNNNNNNNNNNNNNNNNNNNNNNNNNNNNNNNNNNNNNNNNNNNNNNNNNNNNNNNNNNNNNNNNNNNNNNNNNNNNNNNNNNNNNNNNNNNNNNNNNNNNNNNNNNNNNNNNNNNNNNNNNNNNNNNNNNNNNNNNNNNNNNNNNNNNNNNNNNNNNNNNNNNNNNNNNNNNNNNNNNNNNNNNNNNNNNNNNNNNNNNNNNNNNNNNNNNNNNNNNNNNNNNNNNNNNNNNNNNNNNNNNNNNNNNNNNNNNNNNNNNNNNNNNNNNNNNNNNNNNNNNNNNNNNNNNNNNNNNNNNNNNNNNNNNNNNNNNNNNNNNNNNNNNNNNNNNNNNNNNNNNNNNNNNNNNNNNNNNNNNNNNNNNNNNNNNNNNNNNNNNNNNUUCUUCUUUCCACAUCAAGAUCCUCUGCGCAUGGACUUGUAGAGAACCCAUGAGUUCAUCAACUGUCAUAGUGUCCACAUCUUUGGACUUUUCAAUUACAGCCACAACACAGUCAAACUUCUAAUCCAAGGAUCUUAGGAUCUUCUCCACCACAUGCUUGUCCUCCACAUUCUUGUCAUUUCUUCUCAUUUGGUUUAUAUUAGGGAGAACCUUCGUGAAGUAAUCCGAGAUGGAUUCUCCUUCAUCUUCAAAGUCUCGAACUCGCCUCUCAACAUUUGAAGGCGCACAUUCUUCACUUUCUCAAUGCCCUUAUCAGCGUUCUCGAGGAUCUCCCAAGCUUGCUUCAAAUUGGUGGCACAGGCAACCUUCUCGAAUUUGGUUUUAUCUAGCCCUUGAUUGAUUAAAUAAAGAGCCUUCUUAUCCUUCUUCCUUUGUUCGGCAAGCGCCAUUCUUUAUGCCGCCGUUUGUCCGCGGUCAUCUUGAGGUUCUUCAUACUCCUUUUCAACAACUUCUCAAAUAUCUUGGGAGCCUAGCAAUACCUUCAUCUGGAUGUUUUAGUUCUCAUAGUUGGUGGUGGUGAGUCGUGGAAUGAGGAAUUGCAUGCCGCUGGAUAUUUUUUCAACCUCCACGCUCUGAUACUGCUUUGAUAGAGUAUGCAACGGUGGUAGAAUACACAACAAGAGUAUGAGAAAAUAUUUUUUACUAUAUAAAAUAAUGGAGGAGUAUAAUUUUUUUUUCUCACAAGCCCUUUUUUUUUCUUUUCUUUACUUCACCACACGUUCUUCUUUACAACAACUAUCUAUUUAUAGGUGUAAGAAGUGACCUUUUGAUUUUCCUAAUAAAUUUAUCAUUAUGCAACAAAUGUGAUCUUUAGACUUCCUAUGUGACUCUUGAAUUUUUAUGACUCUUGAUUUUUUGCCACUACAAUGAUUUUUCAAUUUCUUCAACACAAUUAAGUUUACUUUUUUCAACAAAGACCUCAUUUGAGACUUGCAAAGAUAGAGCUGAAACCGGCCAUAUCAAGAUCUCUACAUAGGAUUGACCAAUCAAAAUUAGAUGACAGAAUCUUCCAGGCUACCGUCUUGAUUGAGGCUGCUUUAUCGAGGAAAAUCUUGGAGUUUCUUUCAGUCCAAUAACUCGAUGCAAUAGCAGCAAUUAUCAUCUGACUGACCUGUCUGGAAGGGGGAAAAUGCAUCUUUCACCAAGUUGAACAAUAAAGAACUAAGUUAGUAGUUGUAGUGGGAAUACCAAGACAAUUACAAAAAACCAUCCAGAUCUUUGAGAUGAAUGGACAGGAGAUGAACAGAUGAUCGGAAGAUUCAUGGCAUUUGUCACAAACACUACCUCCAAGAGAUCUGCCAAGUUUCUUCUAUAUGUAUAUGCCGGCCAUAUCAAGAUCUUUCUUUGUAUUGUACCUUAAAUGCAUCACUUGAUUAUUUGUCUAAGUAGUGGAUGGAUUGGGCUUCUUAAACCCAAUCUUCAGCAAAUCCCAAAUAUCUUAUGAUAUAAAUAGAGUCUUUAUCAUGAUAUUCCAAUAAUCAUCGCAUUUACCAUCAAAAAUUGAAAUAGAGCACUAUUGAUUGCUCAUACCUACAUUCUUUGAGGUUGCUAUCUACAAAUCUUUUUGCCAUGUUUGUUUUCCUAUGGACAAAGGUUAAGCCCGACUGAAGUCCAACCUCCUGGCUGUUAAACCACCUUACCUUUUUGUUGUUUUUUCAACAAAUAUUUGGUGGGGAUGCAUGCAAGAGGGAGAGAAAGCUCUUAAUGCGAGGAAUUAGGGUUUCAACUAGAAGAGAGAAAAGAGAUGAAUAAAUUUCCAAGUUGAAUUGGGCACUCUUCACCAACCAUCUUUUCUUUUGUCAUCUCUUUUGUUUAGGGGAUUCACUUACAUCCUAGUAUUGCAUCAUAGCUUACAAGUGGCUGCACAUUGAUCAUAUAUCCAACUACAUAAAAGGAGACCAACGAGCACAUCAUAUAAUAGCCCAUUACAAAGCAAUCCAAAAUACAUAUACGGGCAACAACCCAAACACAUAAUAGCUAGCCCAUGUAUAUGGGCAAAGCAAAAAAAAAAAAAAUUUGUAGCCAUAUAAAUUUUAGUCAAUUACUUCCCAUCUGCUGAUUAAUUGUUGCCAUGUAAUUUGCUUACUAUUCUUUCAAUGUUAAUGAUUGCUUUAGCUAUAAAAAUACUGAGAGUGCUCACAUCAACAGCGAUGAAGGCAAGACUGCAGCAUAAGAAACAAAUGAGGAUUCCAAGCCACAAACAAUCUGGUGCCACUACUGCAUAAAUGCCUGUCGCAAAUGCAAUCAUCAUACCUAAGAAUGCAAGCGAGACUAAUACUCUCCCAAACUUCGCAUAAAGCCAUUGAUGAGCUUCUUGUUUUAUUGCUAUUGUCGAGUAAAGGUAUGCUGCCAAAAGUGAGCAACACAUAGAAAUGGUGUCAGAGAUCAGGAACACCUGGACUGCUGCUUUUCUGGACAAGACUGCGAGACCCUGUUUCGGGUCAUCAUCAUUUACAUAUCCUCCAGGUAUUGUGAAAGCGGCAGCAAAGGUCACGGUUGCCAUGAGUACUGCCACAAGUGAAAGAUUGCGAGGGUACUCAUCCAACAUUUUCAUCAGCAGCUCAUUUUCCAUGCGAUGAAGAUUCUUUCUAAUAAAAUUUAGUUUACUUGCAUCAUCUUUGGCCCAAACUUCUCUUAGAAUCGAAUGGCUUCCAUACUGAUUGGUAGAAAAUUUUAGUCAGAAUUCACAGGAGUAUGGUAGAUAAAAGAGGGAAGCACAACCUUCGAAAAAAUAGAAAUAUGAGAGCACCGAAAAGAUUCAUGUUCGAUGAUUUGGGCUGAAACUCAUAUGAUAAAAAGGUCUAGUUAUGAAUGUUCUUACCCAUGCGGGGCAUAGGUGUGGCUCUUUGUCCGUGUAGAAAGAUUGUGCAGCCGUGUGACCGUGUUGGUCAGUGACAGACAUGUCUACUCUCUUCGAUCGCAUCAGCUGCCGGAGUAUGCUUGGGUUGUGUUCCUUGACUGCUACGUGCAAAGGCGUUUUCCCCUCAUUGUCCCUUUGGUUUAAUAGCCGGUCAAGUCCCGGGGUUACCACGAGAUGCUGCACCAUCUUAUUUUGGCGUUCGAUGGCAAUGUGAAGAGCAUUCCUGCCCUUCCCAUCAACGGCAUCAACAGCAUCUGGGCACAUCCUGAAGAGCUCCAGGAAUACAGCAACAUGACCCCUUCCAGCGCACACGUGAACAGGUAAACGUCCAUCUCCGUCUGCAACAUAUGCAGCGGACGAAUCAUGUUCCAGUAACAACUGUACCAUCUUCAAAUCUCCCCAGUAUACUGCGUAGUGGAGAGGAGUCUGCCCCCUCUCAUCCUUUUUUAUUUCGGCCCUCGUUUCCAAAAUUGCACGUGCAAUCCCUUACAGAGCAUCAAAUAACAAGAAAUCUUAGUAGUGUGUAUAUAUAUAUAUAUAUAUAUAUAUAUAUAUAAUAAAUAAAANNNNNNNNNNNNNNNNNNNNNNNNNNNNNNNNNNNNNNNNNNNNNNNNNNNNNNNNNNNNNNNNNNNNNNNNNNNNNNNNNNNNNNNNNNNNNNNNNNNNNNNNNNNNNNNNNNNNNNNNNNNNNNNNNNNNNNNNNNNNNNNNNNNNNNNNNNNNNNNNNNNNNNNNNNNNNNNNNNNNNNNNNNNNNNNNNNNNNNNNNNNNNNNNNNNNNNNNNNNNNNNNNNNNNNNNNNNNNNNNNNNNNNNNNNNNNNNNNNNNNNNNNNNNNNNNNNNNNNNNNNNNNNNNNNNNNNNNNNNNNNNNNNNNNNNNNNNNNNNNNNNNNNNNNNNNNNNNNNNNNNNNNNNNNNNNNNNNNNNNNNNNNNNNNNNNNNNNNNNNNNNNNNNNNNNNNNNNNNNNNNNNNNNNNNNNNNNNNNNNNNNNNNNNNNNNNNNNNNNNNNNNNNNNNNNNNNNNNNNNNNNNNNNNNNNNNNNNNNNNNNNNNNNNNNNNNNNNNNNNNNNNNNNNNNNNNNNNNNNNNNNNNNNNNNNNNNNNNNNNNNNNNNNNNNNNNNNNNNNNNNNNNNNNNNNNNNNNNNNNNNNNNNNNNNNNNNNNNNNNNNNNNNNNNNNNNNNNNNNNNNNNNNNNNNNNNNNNNNNNNNNNNNNNNNNNNNNNNNNNNNNNNNNNNNNNNNNNNNNNNNNNNNNNNNNNNNNNNNNNNNNNNNNNNNNNNNNNNNNNNNNNNNNNNNNNNNNNNNNNNNNNNNNNNNNNNNNNNNNNNNNNNNNNNNNNNNNNNNNNNNNNNNNNNNNNNNNNNNNNNNNNNNNNNNNNNNNNNNNNNNNNNNNNNNNNNNNNNNNNNNNNNNNNNNNNNNNNNNNNNNNNNNNNNNNNNNNNNNNNNNNNNNNNNNNNNNNNNNNNNNNNNNNNNNNNNNNNNNNNNNNNNNNNNNNNNNNNNNNNNNNNNNNNNNNNNNNNNNNNNNNNNNNNNNNNNNNNNNNNNNNNNNNNNNNNNNNNNNNNNNNNNNNNNNNNNNNNNNNNNNNNNNNNNNNNNNNNNNNNNNNNNNNNNNNNNNNNNNNNNNNNNNNNNNNNNNNNNNNNNNNNNNNNNNNNNNNNNNNNNNNNNNNNNNNNNNNNNNNNNNNNNNNNNNNNNNNNNNNNNNNNNNNNNNNNNNNNNNNNNNNNNNNNNNNNNNNNNNNNNNNNNNNNNNNNNNNNNNNNNNNNNNNNNNNNNNNNNNNNNNNNNNNNNNNNNNNNNNNNNNNNNNNNNNNNNNNNNNNNNNNNNNNNNNNNNNNNNNNNNNNNNNNNNNNNNNNNNNNNNNNNNNNNNNNNNNNNNNNNNNNNNNNNNNNNNNNNNNNNNNNNNNNNNNNNNNNNNNNNNNNNNNNNNNNNNNNNNNNNNNNNNNNNNNNNNNNNNNNNNNNNNNNNNNNNNNNNNNNNNNNNNNNNNNNNNNNNNNNNNNNNNNNNNNNNNNNNNNNNNNNNNNNNNNNNNNNNNNNNNNNNNNNNNNNNNNNNNNNNNNNNNNNNNNNNNNNNNNNNNNNNNNNNNNNNNNNNNNNNNNNNNNNNNNNNNNNNNNNNNNNNNNNNNNNNNNNNNNNNNNNNNNNNNNNNNNNNNNNNNNNNNNNNNNNNNNNNNNNNNNNNNNNNNNNNNNNNNNNNNNNNNNNNNNNNNNNNNNNNNNNNNNNNNNNNNNNNNNNNNNNNNNNNNNNNNNNNNNNNNNNNNNNNNNNNNNNNNNNNNNNNNNNNNNNNNNNNNNNNNNNNNNNNNNNNNNNNNNNNNNNNNNNNNNNNNNNNNNNNNNNNNNNNNNNNNNNNNNNNNNNNNNNNNNNNNNNNNNNNNNNNNNNNNNNNNNNNNNNNNNNNNNNNNNNNNNNNNNNNNNNNNNNNNNNNNNNNNNNNNNNNNNNNNNNNNNNNNNNNNNNNNNNNNNNNNNNNNNNNNNNNNNNNNNNNNNNNNNNNNNNNNNNNNNNNNNNNNNNNNNNNNNNNNNNNNNNNNNNNNNNNNNNNNNNNNNNNNNNNNNNNNNNNNNNNNNNNNNNNNNNNNNNNNNNNNNNNNNNNNNNNNNNNNNNNNNNNNNNNNNNNNNNNNNNNNNNNNNNNNNNNNNNNNNNNNNNNNNNNNNNNNNNNNNNNNNNNNNNNNNNNNNNNNNNNNNNNNNNNNNNNNNNNNNNNNNNNNNNNNNNNNNNNNNNNNNNNNNNNNNNNNNNNNNNNNNNNNNNNNNNNNNNNNNNNNNNNNNNNNNNNNNNNNNNNNNNNNNNNNNNNNNNNNNNNNNNNNNNNNNNNNNNNNNNNNNNNNNNNNNNNNNNNNNNNNNNNNNNNNNNNNNNNNNNNNNNNNNNNNNNNNNNNNNNNNNNNNNNNAUAUAUUAUUAUAAUAUAUUAUAAUAUUCAUAUAUUAAUAUAUUAUAAUAUAUUAUAAUAUAAUAAUGUAACAAUAUAAUUAACAUAUUGUUAUAUAGAAUUAUAUUUAUAUAAUAUAUAUUACAAUAUAUUAAUAUAAUAUAUAAUAAUAUAUGAUUAUAUAAUAAAUUAUUAUAUUAUAAUAUAAUAUACUAUAUUAUUAUAUAUAAUAAUAUUAUAUUAUAUACCAUAUGAUAUUAAUAUAAAAUAUUAAUAUAAUAUAAUAUAUAUUAUUAUAAUAUAUUAUAAUAAUAAUCAAAUAAUAUAUAGUAAUAUAAUAUUGAAAUAAUAUAAUAAUGAUAUAAUAUAAUAUAAUAUAAUAUAAUCAUAUAAUAUAAUACAAUAUAAUUUAUUGUUAUAUAUAAUAUGAUUUAUAUAAUAUAUAUUAUAAUAUAUUAUCAUAUACUAUAUUAUUGUAAUACAAUAUAGUUACUAUAAAAAUAUAAUAAUAAUAUAAUAAUAGUAUAUUAUAUUAUAAUAUAUUAUAUUAUAUUAUAUUAUUAUCUAUAAUAAGGGGAGGAUAAGAGCUGUCAGAGAAGGGGGUGGAGAGAUUGGCUUUGUAUGAUUUUUUUUUUUUAAGGAUAAUUUUGUCCAAAUUUUUUUUUAUAACAUUGCCAAACAAGUGGUAAUUUAGAUAGCCACCUCUCCCUAAGGCAAUCCAGAUUACCUCCUGAGAGAUAAUAUGAAUUGCCAAGGUAAUCUGGAUUACCACUCAAAAAGUAUACUAAACACAGUAAUCUGAUGGGUCCAUUUUAAAUUGCCAACAAUCUGGAUAGAUUGUCAGCUACCAAACACAACCUUAGUUCUUUGUAUUUGAAAGGGCUUCAUGUGUUGGAACAGCAUAUUCUCCAGCAUAAUGCGAGAGUUGGACUAGAAGAAAGAGAAGAUCUCCACUUUUGAGAUAAGAAGGGGCUAAUCUCGACAAACUCCAGCCGGAGCAGAACCCUGUUUACCCAAGUGGCAAAGGGUGAUAAGUGAUAACAUUGGAGCAAGCGCUCAUUGGUCUCAUCUUAGAUACAUUAACCCUAACUAAAAGUGCCAUCCCUUCCAUUAGAUUCUCUGGAAAAGAUAAAGGUCCUCUGCAGUUCAUGGUGCAACUCGGGAGUUCCAAUUUCUCCCCCCCAAAUAUCUGUGAAUCGAGCAAGACAAUUGACCACAUCGCAUCAUCUAGCACGCAUUCAAUCAUGAUCAUCUUGCAGCAAAGUGAUGGUUGUGAUUGGGAGACUGGAUCUGUCCAUUUAAAAGUUCAAUAAGGGGUCUGCCCGAAAAAAGAAAAAAAAAACUUCAAUAAGAGAGAAUAACGAGAAAGAAAUGGUCAUACAGGCUAGACCAUGACUCGAGACAUUUGUGCUGCGGUAGAUCCUCGACGAAUUCCUGCCGCUUGGACGUGGUGGCGAGCGACAUCGCGGAACCUCGCCGCUUCCAACAAGCUUGGAUCCAGACACUAACCAAUAUCCGAACACACGCAUUAUAAUUUCUUGAUGCCUACUAAAUUUAUAUCUUGUUCACCCAGAAAAGACAAAUUUUGGUAAUUAUUAAAAUUCUUUUCUUCAUGAACAAAAAGACUGAUGGUCCAGCCGUCAUCCCAUCACAUACAGGAAUUGAUAAAAUUUAUCUCGUUAUUCCCCGACCGAAGGCAUCCUCAGUUUUCGUGAUGCCUACUCGAAUUAUAUUCCAUAUUUUCUAUUUUUAUAUGCAGUCUUCUCUACUGUAAAGUUUUCUUGAGGCGAGUGCAGUCUGCCAUGCUGUGGAGUUCUCUUUAUGCCGACUUAAUUUAUAUCCUUUUUCCCACUGAGAAAAGACGUGGAUUUUCUCAAUUAGCAAUUUUUUUAAUAAUAAAUUAAAUAAAAAACUUCAUUUUUUAUUUCAAACUAAAAAUAAUUUUCUAUUUGAGUUUAAAUUAAAAGAACCUCCCUGUUUCAAAUAUAAAUUAAAAACAACUCUCCAUUUCUAGCUAAAAUGACUAUUAUACCCUUAUAUCCUCAUACGAUUAUACAGUAAGGCAGUAUAAUUUUACAAUAAGGCAGUACUGAUUUAUAAUAAGACAGUACUAUUUUCUAAUAUCGUAAUAUUAUUUUAUAAUACGUAAUGCAGUACUAAUUUAUAAUAAAAUAGUAUUAUUUAAUAAAUAUUACAGUAUUGUUUUAUAAUAUAGAAGUACUAUUUUAUAAUAAGAUACUAUUAUUUUAUAAUAGUGUUAUAUUACAAUAAGAUAGUACUAUUUUAUAAUAAGAUAGUACUGUAUUAUAAUAAGAAAGUACUGUUUUAUAAUACUCUUCAUCAUAAUAAGAUAGUAUUAUUUUACAAUAAAGUAGUAUUACAUUACAAUAAGGUAGUACUAUUUUCUAAUAUCGUAGUAUUAUUUUAGUGUUGGUUUAUAACUAUAGGGGUAAUUUAGUUAUUUAUGCCAAUUGGAGAGCUGCUUUUAAGUGAUACUCAAUUGGAGAGCUAUUUUUAAGUUUAAAUUCAAACGGAGAGUUUUUACUAAUUUAUUUUUUAAAAAAAAAAUAAUUUUCUCAAUUAUUAAUUUUAUGUUACAAAAUGAUAUAACUAUUGAUAAACUUAACUUUUUCUUUAUUCCCUAACCAAAAUCGAGCUCAGUUUUCUUGAUGCCUACUCAAAGCCUAUUCCAUAUUUUAAAAAGGCACAAGCAUUGGAUUUUUUUUUCUUUUGAAAAUGUGCUAAUUGACAACCUGGAAGAAAAAAAUUAAAAAGAGAAUAAAAUAAUUAGACUUUAUUGCUGAUAAAAUCUAUCUUUCUCUAAGUGAAAAGUGAUCAUCCACCGGAUAUUCCAUCGUGAAAAUCAAAACAAUACAGCUAUUGAUAAGAAAAAUAAGCUUUUCUUUAGUCCAAAGUCCAAACUGAAGGCAAUCUUAGCUUUUUAGGAAGCUAAUCAAACUACAUUCUGUAUGUAUGAUCCUUCUGUUAUUAUUUGAUGAUUUUUAUACUUUUUGGGAAUGUUUGAUUUGGAGGUGUUGGAUGCUAAAAUGAGAGUGGAAAUGAAUGACUUCUAUUCCAACCAUUUGAUUAGAGGGAGUCCUAUUUCUAUUUUGAUUUUAGAAGAGAAUGAAAGUGCCUUAAUCCUCCAAAACUCAAUUCUUAUUCUCCUGUAAUAUUCCAGUUUCAUUUUGAUUGUAUUUUCGAUUCUAAUCAUAAACCGAACAUAUCAGAGGAUAUGAUCAUUUUUAUUUUCAUUUCAAUCCAUUCCAAUUCCAAUUUCAAUUUCAAUUCCAGUCGCAAACCAAAUGCACUCUUAGUUUCUUGUAUUUAAAAGAGAUUUAUGUAUUGGAGCAGCAUAUUCUCCAACAUAAUGUGAUUCAAGAAUUAGGGUUGGACUAUAAGAAAAAGAAAAUCUCAAUGUUUGAGAACCUCUUUUCCUUAAUUACCCAAGUGGCAAGGGGUGAUACCAUUUGAGCAAGUGCUUGAUGGUAUUAUAUUUUAUACAUUAACUCUAGAUAAAAGUCACAUUCCAUCAAUGGUGGAUGCAUGUUAGUAGAUGUGGGGUCAAUUGACUCCAAAAAAUAAAAAUAAAAAAUAUUAAGUAUAUGUACCAGUAGGAAAAAUCAAAAUUGAUUUCACUAAUUUUAUAAGUUAACCUCAUAUCUCAUAUAAAAUUUUAAAAAAGUAAAAGAUAAAAAGAUCAUACAAAAAAAUAAUUAUGAUCUAUAUUCUUUCUCUCUUUAAUGACUCAUAUCUCCUACCUCUCUCACUCUCAUAUUGCUCUGACUUCUCUCUCUCUCCUUCUUUCUCUUUCUUUAUUAAUUACUUCUAUAUUUAUCUUUUAAUACCCCACCCCAAUCCCAUCUAUCCACCUCUUAUAUUUAAAUCCUACAUCAAUUUUUUUUUAUAUUCUAGAAGGAGUACAUUAAAAAAAUAAUUAUGAUCUAUAUUUUUUAUUUCUUUAAUGACUAACAUAUCUUAUUUCUCUCUCCAUCUCUCAUACCACUUUGAUAUCUCUUCCUCUCUCGCCUUUAUCUUUCUUUAUUAAUUUUUUUAUUUAUCUUUUAAUACCCCACCCCACCCACAUCCAUCCAUCCUUCAUAUUUAAACUCCAUGUUAAUUUAUUUUUUAUAUCUUAGUCAAUCCAAAUAUAUAAAAAAAUCAUAUAUUCUUCUUAUUUUUUUUCUCAACCCAAAUCAAAUAUGUCUCUUUUAGGAUCUAUUUGAUUGGGAUAUGUCAAAUUAUAGAGUAAUUUCAUAAUUUUUAAAAAUUAUUUAUCUAAAAAAAAUGAUUAUGAAAAAACAUAAUUUUUACUAUAUUUAGCUAAUAGAAAAAUUACUCCAAAAAAUGAUAUUGGAAAAAAAUUACUACAUUUGGUUGGAGGUGAUCCUAUAUAAAAAUUUAGCCAAAUUUAUAAAUAUACCCAUCAAUAUAAAAUAAUUUUUUAAUAUAAAAUAGUAUUGUUAUCUCUAAUCAAUUUUUAUAUAAUGAUUAUAAUCACAUAAUCUUUUACAUCAUACAAUCUGCAUCUUUAUUUUUUUUUUGUAAAAUCUCUUUAUUGAAUGAAUUUGAAAAGAUAGCAAAAUAAAUUCAAUGAUUACAUAUGUACAUUAUUUUUUAAGCUUUAUCUUUUUCAAUAUUUUUAUUAUCACCAAUGUCUCAUUCUGCACCUCUCUUUAUUAAAUAUAUUGAAAGUAUUUUUGUCAAGUAUGGAUUACUACUACUUGAAAAUUUAUCAAACAUUAAUUCUCCAUCAUAUUUGUUUUAUCUUCUGACUUUAAAAAAUAAAUAUAGAACCCAUCAAUUUUUUUACCAUCUCUCUCUUUCAUUUUUCAUACCAAACAUGAUAAUUUGAUAUAGGAUUUAUUUUUCUAUACCAGAUUAAUCCAAACCAAAAUAACCCUUAGUUUUUUUUGUAACACUCUUUUAUUUUUUUGCCUUCUACUUUUUCUCACUCAUUAAAUAUGUAUUAUUAGAAUAAUUUUUGGUUAGCAAUUAUAAUUUUAACAUUUAAUAAUAUUUAAUAACCAUAAUCUAUUGGUCUUCAGUUCCUAACAUAGAAAUUAAGAUUUUAUUUUUUUGUUUGUGAAUAAUAGUUAAUUUUUAUUUAGUUAUAAAUAAUGUGUUAUCAUGAGAAAAUAAUAUUUGUAAUUCAUAGACAAUUUUCUUUUUAUUGAUGUUUCUGGUGACAUUUUAUUGUUGUGAAUUUAUAAAAAAAAACUAAUGGUGCAUUAUUUUUGUCAAUGAAACAUGGAGAGAUUUCUUAAAAAAUAAUCUCUUUUAGUGCUUCAUUUCAAAACUCACCUCAAAUUCUAAAAAGUAAAUGUAGAAAUGGAAAUGAAGUGUAAGUCAAAGUGGAAUUAGAAGUAGUUUUAUUGACAACCCGCACCAAUCUUAUAAGAGAAGUCAAAUUGAUCUUAAUUCUCUUUCAGCUAAUCUCAAAAAUAAAAAAGAAUUUUAGAUUAUCAUCCAAAUGAUUGAGAUGAAGUGAGGUGAGCAUACCUAUAAAAAGGCCCUGGCUAACCUCGCAACCAUAUUUUCCCCAAAGAAAUAUUGGAGGUAUGUUGCAUAGAUUUAAUCCUUCUUAGUUUAAUCAAUAUGGUAGUUAGUUAGAAUACAAUACAAAAGCAGAUGCAGUAUUUUGCUUGUAUUGUUACUUUUUCAAGAAUAGUGUUAGAAAACAUGCUAGGGGUGACAUUUUUAUUAAUAGGGAUUUAAGGUUUGAAACAAAAAAGAGGGAUUUGAUAUGCAUAUUGGUGAAUGCAAUAGUGCCCAUCACCAAGUUGUCAAAAAAUAUGAAGAUAUAAUGAAGCAAAAACAAUCUAUACAAACUCUUUUAAUAAGCAAGCUAAGAAUGAGUAUCGAACUCACUUAAAUAUAUCAAAUAAUUGCUCAAGAUAUUUUUUAAACCAAAAGUUGUCAUUUUGUGGACAUGGUGAGCAUAAAUAUUCAAGUAAUAGAAGGAGUUUUCUUGAACUAUUACAAUGGCUUAUUGAUCAAAAUGAAAAUAUAGAAAGUCUCGUGCUGCAAAAUGCUCUAGAAAAUCAACAAAUGAUUGUCCUAUCGAUUCAAAAAAAUAUUGUGCAUGCUUGUGCAAAAGAAACAAUUAGUGCAAUUAUUGAUGACCAUCACGAUGAUUUAUUUGGAAAAUUGGUUGAUGAGUCAUGUGAUAUAUCACACAGAGCAAAUGGCUUUUAUUUUGUACUAUGUUGAUAAAAGAGGAUUAUAAUGGAGUGGUUUAUUAGCAUUAUACAUAUUAUUGAUAGUUCUACUUUAUCUUUUAAGGAAGCAAUUGAUUCUUUGCUUUCUGAACAUUCAUUAAGUUUAUAUAAAAUAUGUGGGCAAGGCUAUGAUAGAGCUAGUAAUAUGCAAAAUGAGAUCAAUAGCCUUAAACUUUGAUUAUAAAAGAAAGUGAAUCAUCAUAUUCUAUCCAUUGUUUUGCUCAUCAACUUCAAUUGACGCUUAUAGGGGUCAUCAAAAAUCAUGAUGAUGUUUCUUAGCCUUUUAACAUGAUUGGUAAUAUAUUGAAUAUGGUUGGAACUUCUUGCAAAAGUAAAGAUAUGCUUUAAGAAAAGCAAGCUAAAAGGUUGAACAAAUUUUGAGUAAUGAUGAACUUCAAAGUAGGCAAGAUUUGAAUUAAAAAAUUAGUUUUAAAAAUGCAGAUGAUACUCGUUGGGAUCUCAUUAUAAAUUACUUUUAUUGCUAUGUUCCCUUCUAUUAUGGAUAUACUUAAAACUAUUGCAACUGACGGCUUACAUCCUGAGCAAAGAGUUCAAGCACAAGUGCUCCUUAAUUUUUUAUAAUCAUUUCAAUUUGCUUAUCUUACACUUAAUAUUGACUAUAUUGAAGAUUAUAAAUAAGUUAAAUUUGACUUUGCAGAGGAAAAAACAAGAUAUUAUAAAUACUAUGUUGCUUGUAAGAGUGGCUAGAAAGGGUGGGAAUCUUAUUUGAAUAAUGUUUAUGAAUUUUGUAACAUGUUGAUAUUUUGAUCUUGAACAUAAAUGACAUAUAUGUGCCUCAAGAUCGAUUGAGGCAUAAAUUCCCAGAAAUCAUAAAUUUAUACCAUUAUUGUAUUGAAUUAUCUUAUAUGAUUAUUUAUAUACAACUUCUGGAGCUUGAUGAUCAUUUUAGUGAGAUAAAUAUUAAAUUAUUCCUUUGUAUGGCUUGCUUGAAUCUAGUUGACUCAUUCUAUCUUUUUGACAAGCAAAAGUUGAUUAGAUUAGCUCAAUUUUAUCUAGAUAAGUUUUGAUAUGUUAAUCUUUUGGUACUUGAACACCAACUUAAAGACUUCAUUGUUGAUAUGCACCAAGAUGAAAGAUUUUGUGAAUUGAAUGAGCUUGGUGAUUUUUCAAAGAUCGUCAAAACAAAGAAGCAUAUUGUAUAUCUACAUAUUUAUUUGCUUUUGAAGUUAGCAUUGAUACUAUCGGUUGCUACUACUGUUGUGGAGAGGGUUUUUUUUUUGUGAUAAAGUUCAUAAUGACUAAAUUGUGUAACUACAUGUAUAAUCAAUUGAUGAAUGAUUAUUUAAUGACAUAUAUAGAAAGAUGUAUUUGGUGGUAUUAUUAAUGAUAUUGUCAUGCAUCAUUUUCUAAAUAUGAAAAGUCAUAAAAGAUAAUUAUAAAAUAAAAAAAUUAUAUUUUUGUUGAUAUAAAAAUAAUAUUACAUUCUAUUUAAUUUUUAAUAUUUUUAUUAUUUAUUCUUUAUUCUAUAUUGGUCCUAUAAAGUAAAAUUUUUGGAUCUAAUGCUGCAUACUAUCCACUGGAUUGUCUGGAAAAGAUAAAAGGUGCUCUAUGGUUCAUGGCGUAACUAGGGAGCUCCCGUCUCCCAAGCGUCCACGCAUGUGGUAGACGAGACAAUUGGCCACAUGGUAGCACCAAGCACCCUGUCCAUCAAGAUGACCUGUACGUUUAAAAGUUCGAUAAGAUAUGGUAACAAAAAAGAUACGGUAAUGCAGGCUAUAACAUGGCCCUCGAGAUUGUGCUGGUGGUAAAAUGAGAGUUCUAAUUUUUUAUCUAAUCCCUAAUGAAAAAUUUUUUAUGCACCGUGAGCAGCGUAAAAAAUUUAAUAUAGAACAUACCGCCUUAUCCGAUUGAUCCAUAUAGUCAUCACUUUUCAACAUACAUUUAAUACCUGUAGACCAUCUUUUUUAUUUAAAAAUUUUAUAUGAUAAAAAUAUUUUUGUCCUUUGAUUAUGAUAUCCCUUCACAAAAAUUAUGACACUCCUUCAAAAAUAUUAUGACACGUCUAUCCUUUCAAAAAAAUUAUGACACCUCUUCUUAAAAAUUAUAAUAUCCCUUCACAAAAAUUAUAAUAUUCUGAAACUGAAUAAAAAAUUGAAAUUAGGUGUCAUAAUUUUAAAAAAAAAAUGUCAUAAUAUUUAACAAGAAAGGGGUGUCAUAAUUUUUUGAAAAAGUAUCGUAAUUUUUGUGAAAGGAUGUUAUAACCAAAGGACAGAGGUAUUUUCGGAAAGUGAUGACUAUAUAGAUCAAUCAAAUAAAAUGAUAUAUUUUACGUCAGAUUUUCUGCACUGCCCGUGGUGCACAAAGAAUUUCUGAUCUCUAACAACCCCUAUGCUGGGCUUUGUUGGCUACUAGAUGGCCAAUAGAACAAAUGGCUAACAACCCUCACUCAAAGCCCAGUCUCGAACAGAUGAAAACAAAGUUCUUCUAAGACAAGAGGCCGUCUGAACCAAUUCUAAUACAUCCAUCCUCUUAUCAAUAUAUCCACUGGGAGUAUUCUCAGUCUUCAUACCACAGCUAAACUCAAGGAGUGCAUCCUUUCCUACCUUGCGCUCUCCACACCCUUAUGUCACAACCUGAUGGCCCCAGACGGGACACAGUAAAAUUUGGUUUAUUUGCUUCCUCAUCCAUCCAUACAAUUAUUCAAGAAACACGCAUUUAGAGAUUGCAUGGCCCUGGGCCAACAAUCACAAUUCAGAAGAAAAACUUCAGUCUAGAUUAGAUUGUCAUCUUGGAUUUCGGAUCCCUUCCCAGCGAUCCAAUCAGCAAUAUGUGGAAAUCAAGAUACGAGGGAAUAACAUCCACCAUAAAUGAGAAGACAGCUAUACUUUUCCACUAGAACUAGUUAUUUGGAAGUGGUUUAUACUGCUCCUAACUGUUAAUGUUUUCAGUGGUGGUUGUUACAGCCAAAAAAAAUCUAAGAAAAAUAUUUGAAAAAAAGGCAGCCAUAGAUAUUGUACCAAAAAGUUUGCUUUUUCCGCAAGGUGCACCAUAAGUAGAAAUAAAGAACUUCCCAACAUUAUGAGAUAGCACUUGGUUGGAAUUGAACAACAUACAGCAAAGUUUCAAACAUCAAAUAUUAAUUAUUUGUCCACAUAUAAGCAACGCACAUUUUAAUCAAACACCAGAGAUGUAUUUUACAAAUGUUUCAGUCCACAGAAACACUAAAAGCUGUAAAACAUGCUGACAAGUCUUAAAUACACUCACAGAAGCACCUCUUUUUGUAACUGACCUGCAAAGAAGAGACAGAAAAUUAGUGGUCAUGAUAUCAGUUUCAUGCCUUAUCAAACAGAAGCUUUAAUAAGCAUAAAAAAUAAAAGAUAGUGGCAAUUGAAAUAAGGCCAAUAAGAGGAGGGGAAAAACAAAGUAUAUGGCCAAGCAACAGUUUGCUGUAAAAAAUCUUCAACUUCUCUGUGUCAUUUCUAUGGCCUAAUCAAGGGCUCCAUUUUCAUAGUCGCCACCUCAAUUUGCACCUCUUAGAAUUUAGGCCCUAUUAACUUCCUGCUCACUUUUGUGGAAGAAUUGGCACUUAACAGACUCCUUCGUGCCACAAUAGUUUCAUCAAAAUUUCUGGAAUUCUAAGGAACUCCUCUCCAACCUACAAAGUAAUAUCUUGCUUUUCAAUAAAUUCAGGGAGGGGCUCUGCUCCCUUUCCAUGUCCUGAAGAACAAAAAAACUAAAUCUUGUUUUCAAAAAAGAACAAAUUGGAUGGUUCAUCCUCCCUUAUUGUCAAAAAACAAAAUAGCAGAAACAGAUGGACAUGCAAUGUACAUUUAUUUAUAACAUACUAUAUCUAACAGCAUUAAACGAUAUUUAAAUACAAAAUAAAAAAUUAAGAUGUAUGAGGAUUUACAAUGCCAGAAGGUCCAAUGUGGGUUGUCUUCCCCCUCUUUCUGCGUCCCUGCAUAGAAGCAUAUAUACGAAUAUUAUAUGAGAUUCCAGUGUGUGACAACAGAUCAUUCAACAUCAUCAUCCAUGGGCAGACAUAGGGCCUAGGAGGUCAAAUGCACAUAAGUGAAAGAGGACAAAGGAGCCAACAUGGUUAUAUGAAUGUCUCAAUAGCGUACUAAACCAAUAUAAGCAAUUGCAAAAUCUAAGUUCAACCAUUAAUAAGAUGAAGUAAAUAAAAUAAUUUUUACAUUGGAUUGUUGAUGCAUUAUAGUAGUUACUAUUGUUAGCUGCAUGAGAAAGUAAUAGCUUUUAUACCAUUAACAUAAAUAGAUAAUGGCAUUCUAAGAAAUUUACUUUAGAAUACUGUACUUCAUAUUUAAAUCAUGCAUGGUAUUAUCUUAUGGCAGCUAUCUCAAUUAUAUAACAGAAUCACAGUGGUCAUAAUACAUAUCCAAAAAUAAUAAUUUAUAGGCCAUUCUAUAUAUUUCAAUAAACAACAAAAGAUGUUAAAAUACAAAAUUGGCACUGUCCUAAACUUUACAAGAAAUGAAGAUCAAGCAUGUAAACGAUAAUUAAUACAGGUUAAACGUAGAAAAUAUCAGCCAGACAGAUGUUCUAGAUCAAGCAUAAGUAUUAUGUAUGUCUCCUUCUCAUUUUAACUAUUUAUAGCAUAGCCUAAAAGGUUUCAAGUUUCAACAAAUUAAACAUGAUUUAAUACAUUAACAUUCUCUAAAACCAUCAAAUCUUCAUCUUUGAUUCCAAGGAAUACUUUAGCAGUAAAAUAAACAUAUCGUAAAAUGAAGAUAAUUAAGACAACAUAUCAUAGUAUGUUAACAAGAGAUAGGGAUUAAUAAAUCAGUGUUGCAUAGACAGAUACAAGAAUCAGAUUCAAAUAUAUAAUCAAGUUCUUGACUUAGCAAGAGGAAAAAAAAAAAGAAAUACAAGAAUACAUGGAAAAAUAAUUUUACCUCAAAUAUUGAAAGAUAUUAUUUUCAGAUCUCUUAUAUAUAUUUUUUAAUUUGUUUGCUAGCUAGAUCAAGGAUUUUACAGAAAGUGACAUUUUGCACAGUCAUCUUAGUACCUACAUGGCCAAUAUAGGAAACCGAUGUCUGCAAAAUCAACACUAAGAAUCGUAUUGGCAUGUCACUGUUCGGUAGAGGAAGGUCAAUAUAGUAGUGUGCACCCAAUAUUGAGACAGGCUCUUAAUAUUUUUUUGCCCCACUCCCAUCCAUCAUACUGCUUGAAACCAGAUGGUUCUGGCCCUUCUGGGUGCUUCUGCUUGUUUGUAUUGCUUUGGCUCAUUUGCCAAACAAAAUCUCAGUAACGUAUCGAUAUCUUACGGGUUGUGGGAUGAUACAGUUAGUAUGAGCCCGUACAAGACAGUACAACAAAUCUUACAGGGAAGAAUCAAAUGUUACCUUUAACAUUACUGUACGAGUGCAACUCUACACCAAUUUCUAAAAGCUACAACCAAAAGGAUACGGCAAGUAUCUAAGCAUCUGGUGUUAUCCAAUUUGGAUACACUUUUGACAAGGAUUCCAAGAGUUGGGUGCAAAUGUCUAGCUGACAUAAUAGAGUUAUUUAUGAGUCCUUGAAAUGGCAGGAAAAAGAUUUGGAAGAACAAGAAAGCAUCUUUGUUUGUGUUGAAAAUGUCAUGCAUGCUGUUUAUUUAAGAAGAACGAGCAUGUGAUAGCUCGCAAUGAUCCAACAUGCAUCUGAUUUGGGUUGUUAGACAAAUGAGUUCUUCGCAAGCCAGCUCAUGUUCAACUUGAUUUUCAGCUUGAUCUUAGUUUCCACAUUUAGUCAACAAACUAAGCAUGUGCUGGAUAUUUUACCUCAUUUAUUAAAUGACUGAGCUUCACUUGACCUCAGCUUGCUCCAUUUCAACUCGAAUAGCUUGAAGUUUAUUUUGUUAAUAUAUAAUACAAAUUAAAUUUAUCUAUAAAUUAAAUAUUUUAAAUAACUAAUGUAUCAUUGAUUUUAUAAUUAGCUGUUAGAUCUUAUAGAUCUUAAUCCAACGGUUGAAAGCUCAACCAUAUGACUUAGAUCCAAUAGCCAACUUGAGAAAACUAAGUGGCUCCCCUGAUCCCAAUCUCUCAGCUCCCACCACCUCACUUUCCAACCGUUCCACCUCCUCUUUGUUUAUCACUUAUUCUCCCCCUCGGACUCUAUCCAAUUUCCCUCUACUUCUUCUCCACCACUACCUCCUUGCCAUUGCAAGAAAGAUCAUCAUUAGCCUUCCUUCCCCUCUCCACCACCAUAUCCUUGUUGCUCCCAUGGAGGAGCAUCGGCAGGCAGAGGUUUUAAAUCUCAUUCCUUUCUCAUCCAUUGCAGCACCCACUACUGUCAUGGGCUCUAGCACCAUUCAAGCACACCCUACAUAAUUUUGAGGUGAGCUUAAAUAGAGCCCCACUCUCUUACGUUUCAACUUAUUUACACCCUUACAUCUGGCAACUAUUCUCCUUUCUUUUUUUGAGAGUAUUUUCUUUUAAAUAGGGAAAUUUUGAUAGGAAAUAUGAAGGGAUGUAUUUAAGGAAAAGAAGACUAGUUUAAGAAAAUAAGUUAAAACACCUCUCCGUUAUACAGUUCUUAAAGGCUCAAGGUUAAAGAGAUUGUGUUUGAGAAAGAGAGAGACAGAGGGAGAUGGGUAAAAUCUCUAAUUGAAAAAACACAAAUCCUUCAAAAUGCAUGCCAUGUCUAUAUUAUGUGUAUUGAAAUACCAACACUUAUUGGAUACUUCUAGAAACAUUUCAGAUACUUAUCUAAAAUAUCCUAUUUCAAAAGUUAAAUAGGACAUCCGAUACUUCUUAAACACACUUGAGAUCAGGAUUCGCCAAACCAGCUUGAACCAGGUAGUUCGGAGCAUACCGAACCAUACCAACAACUAACCGGUGUGGUUCGGACAUUUGAUUCAGAAUGCUGGCGAAAAUGGAGUGAGGGAGAAGGAAAGAGAAGAGAGAAAGAGGAGGGGAGGAAAGGAGAGGAGACGGCCAGAGGUGGCCCGACGAGGCCUCCGAGGCUCCGCAAUGCUUUGUCAGUUGCGAGAAGAGAGAGAGGGGAAGGGAGGGAAGAGAAAGAAGGGAAAGGUGGAGGAGAGGCCAUCGGAGGGCCACCAGAUGGCCACCAUGGCCGUCAGACGGCCCAAAAAUUUUUCACGAUUGCAUGGAUUUGAAGCAAGGGCGAUGCCCCUAUUUCAUUAGCUUUUUUAAGAAAGAUGAUAAAUACUGAAGCCGUUGAAUCCAUUGCUGAUUUCACUAUUUAUUGCAUUUUUAAAAAAGAUCGUCCAUGUUUCAUCAGCUCUUUUGAAAAAGAUAAUAUAUAGUGAAGCCAGUGAACCGAUUGUCGGCUUUACUAUUUAUCAAGAUUCACGGACUCAGUAUUCAAAUCCGUACCGAUUGUCAAUCGGUACGAUACCAUACCGUACCAUAUCGGAACAUACCAUACCAUACUGAUAAUAAAAAAAUUGAAAAAAAAUUCAUCCAAUGGCAAAAAAAAGAAUGAAAAUCGAGCCACACCGAACUGAAUCAGUACCGUAUCGUACCAUACCGGACCAAACCACAUGAUUUCGGAUAGUUCGGGCCGAUAUCAUACCGAACCAACCAGUUUGGCCCGAUUCAGGCCAUUUUUCGAAAAUCUAGCCUAAACUAAAUCGAUUUUCUAUCGGUAUGGUACGAUAUGGAGUGUACCGAUCAAUUCGAACCGAUAUGGAAUACUGUGAUAUUUAUCGUAUUUUUUUAAAAAUAUGAUGAAACAAGGGUUUUCCUCCUAUUUCAAACUCACGGAGACCACAGGACAUUUUUUGAGCCAUCUAGCGGCCAUAGAGGCCACCUGACGGUCUCCUUGCCGCCUUUUCCUCCUUUCUCUCCCUCCCCUUCCCCUCUCUAUCUAUCUCUCUCUACUCUCAUUUUCUCUCAUGGAGGACUGCAAAGCUUGGGAGGUCUUGGCGGCCCUCCAACGGCCUUCGCGGUCCUCUAGUGGCCAUUGUCGGUGUCUCCACCGGCCUCCUUUUCCCUCCCCCCCUCCUUUCCUCCCCCUCUUUUUCUCUUCGGUUCAUCUCUCAUUACUAUGUCGAUUCGGAUCCAGUAUGGUCUAGUAUAGAGACAUACCAACUCAUAUAACCGACUAACCGGCACAGGAUUUGAUUCCAAGUUGACGAUCUUUACUUGGGAUAUUUUCUUUACAUCACUCGAGAUGAGGGCUAAGACUUUAUUUCCUUUUUUACAUAUGUUGAACUUUUUAUGGUAAAUGGUCAAGUUUGGCAUUUGUAACAUCAAAAUAUGGAUUCGCAUCUAGGAUGUUUCUACGGAUAGUUAGUGUAUCAUCUCAUAUGGUCAUGUUCUAUUCGUAGGAAUAAAAUAGAGAUUAUAGAACAUGACCAUAUGAGAUGAUACACUAACUAUCCGUAGAAACAUCCCAGAUGCGAAUCCAUAUUUCGAUGUAUCUAUCUCUAUAUUAUAUGCAUAGUAUAUAUGCAUAUAUAUUGUAUGGACUAUGGAGCAUGGAUAAUAGUCUAUUAAUUUGAAUAAUGACUAAAUGAUGGAGUCUGUGGAUGUUAAUGAUAUUAUAUAAAGAAUGAAUAAUGUUAUUUGAAUAACCUACUAUGCUUUAUCAUACUUAUUUAUUCAUAUGGUAAAAAAAUAUGUAUAUCCAUUGAUGUUUCCUAGAUGCAUUGUAACUACUUCCAAGAUUUGUUAUAUUGGCAAAUCUUUUUUCUUUUGAAGAAAUUGACGAAAGUGAGAUACUUCCCCCAUUAAUAUAUUAUUUAAGAAAGUGGUCUUCCCAUGGUAAUUGUUUUUUGGUAUGGGUGAUGCAAGUGUGUGUGAGUAUGGAAGUGGCAUUAGAUUCUGAAGAUUUGUGUUACACAUACUAGCUUCUUUCCAUGGAAGAGACCACCUAUCCCAUUUCCUUCAUUCUUCUACCAUGAGGGUGCCUGGUCUAAUCGUUAAUAGUAUCUAGCCUUAUUUGUGUGUUCAAAGUGAGUUGAAUAUCGAAUUGGGAGAGUAGCCUCUCUAUUCCUUCAUUCUUUGAGUUCCUAGUCCAAUCCUUGAGGAAGACCGCCUCUUUUCCUACUUCAGCAAUGGCUAGGGCUUGGAAACAGAAUAUCCUAUUAUUUCUUUCCUUCCACAAGCACCACAGUGAAAUCACGAUGACUAUUUCUAGUGCUGUUUUUUUAUGCUAAUAUUUUCUCCAUGAGUGCCAGAGGUCAUGAAUGCUAACAUGAUGGUUUUGCAUUAGCAAAGUCCAGAGGCCCCUUGAGUAUGUGCAUCCCAGCAUUAGGUGGUCCUGAUUUUCCCAUCAUUGCUAUGCAGCAGACAUAAGCUUGGGCCCAAUACUCCCUUCUUUGACAGAUUAUUAGAUGUUAGCAGCUUGUUGUUGUAGGAUAACCAGUUGAAGAUUUUGCACUCUUUAGGGAUCGGAAGCUUCUAGAUGAGGUUACCAAAAUGUGAUGUUACACUGCCAUGCAUUAUGAAACGAUAGCAUAUCAACACCAUAAAGAACCCAUUGGGACUCCAUUUCCAAGUCUUUCUAUCAUUUCUUCAAUUCAGGUGAACAUUGCUAAGAAGGCAGUUCAAGUCUUGAAGCUCUAUCUAGGUGGCAUGAGGGAUGGGAGUUCUGAAGUUUGCAAACCAAUCUGGUCUCACCAUAAAGCUAGCUUUGCCACAUGACUGAUUGUAAUUUGAGUAUGUAUAAGUUUGGAAAUAGAAAGUAUAGCGGUUCUCUACCUACCCAGUUAUCAUGCCUAAAUGAAGUGUGAAUGCCAUUUCAACCCGUUAGUAUUGUGAAGGAGAGGAACAUGUUAUAUGUCUUUGGGAUACUUUUCCAAAAUGGUGAAGCUAUGCAUUGCAGGUAGGGAGUUGAAGAAUUUGGAGUUGUUUUGGAGUAGCAAAUCUUUUGUGUUAGGGUCCUCCAAGGCUUGUCUUGGUCGAAGAAGUAUCUACCCCACCAUUUCAGAAAAAGAACUUGAUUAAGUGUUUUUAGAUCCAUUAUCCCCAUGCCGCCCAACUUCUAAUGAAUUCCUUUCCUCUUGAGCAAUAGGUGAACUUCGUAAGAUAGAUUGGACCUUUAGCGAUACCAUAGGAUGUAGGCAUUGAUCAUGUUACCGUGAGUUUUCAUGAUGGACUCUAGCAAGAGCGUGGUAGAGAGAUCGAUGCCCGGUAGAUGGUGGAAAGAAGAGAGAAAAUCCAAAAAAUCUUUUUCUUUAUCUUUUGAGAAUUUAUAUUUAUUUAUUUAUAAAAUAAAAUAUAGGAAAGGUUAACGGAUGGGGUAGCUGGAUGGAGAUGUGCGAUGGCAUCAAAUAUUAAAUUUCAUGUUUGUACAGAUUUCUUUGCAUUUCUAAACUCUUAUAAGGGCUGCAUGUAAUAUGUGCCACAUGCAAGUCUACAUUUUAUUAGUUGAAAAGCAUGGCUACAAGAAUUUCCUACAAUCAGGGUCAUCGAGGAUUCAUAGACACUUAAAGAGGUUUCAUAAUUAUAAUAGUGAAUGUGAUGGCCCAGAUUAAUAUCUCCUGCAUUCCUAUUAAAUUUGCCAAUGCCAUUCUAUAUUGGUCCACAUUGCUCAAUAUUACCAUCCCUUCAGUAUCGGUUCAUAAAAUCCUAUUACUUUAAACCCUUUAAACAUGGUAAUAGUCUCAAGUCUAAAAAGUAUAACCACUAAAACACCAUCCCGAGUACUUUUAGAUUUUAUGCCCUAAGCACAUCCCUACCUUCCUUUCUUUUUUUCUAGAUGGAAAGGGAGGGGUCCACACAUUUAUUAAAUAAAAAUAAAAAAAGAUACACAAUAUAUAAAAUAAUGAAGGAAGAAGGUAAGAGUAGUGUAGAAAUGGGAGGUGCCAAAUAUUAAGAAAGAGGCAAAAGAUUUAAAGAGGAUGUUAGACACAACAUAAUAAAUAAGACAAUAUUUUAUAGAACAAUGGAGGGCCACUCUCUUUGAGGACUAAUAUAGAGACAAAAUUGGCAUCUUAUGAAGUUGCCUUACUUAUGGAAAAGACAUGAAUUACAUUCCUUCCAAACAAGGAAGGUUGAACCAGUACCAACCGACGUGCCGGUAGCUGGCCAGUAUGUUAUGGUACUGUACCAUAUUGUACCAUACCAAUAAAAAAAAUCCCACCCACCAACACUAAAAAAAAUGAAAAUAGGCCGAACUGGUCGGUUCAUCCUGGAACCAUACCAAACUAGGUGGUUCGGACCAGUUUGGGCCAAUUCGGCCCUGAUUUGAAAAAUAAGGCCAAACUAGACCAUUUUCAUGCCAGUUCAGCUUGGUACGGGCCGAACCGAAUGGGUUAGUCUAGUUUGGCAAACCAUGCUUCCAAAUACACCAACAGAUAUCCAAAAUCAACUAAUUCCAAGCAUACUUGAGUUUCCUUUUCAAUUCUUGAUUUCUCCAAACUGCCCAGAGGUAAACUAUCCAUAGUAUUGCUUUUUGAAGUAUAGAGAAGACGGGACAAAUAACUCCACCCUUGUUAAGGAACAUAUGGAAAGAAUAGACGGAGUAGGAAAUAGAAGAAACUCAUCAAUAGAGUCUAGAAUUGAACCAAUCAAAACUCUUCCCUGAAGAUGAGGGCCCUUUUUAGUUUCACAUACCAGCAACUGAGCCACCCAUUCCAUUGGGAAAACAUAGUAACAUUCUGCUUUAGAAAGGCAGCAUAAAGAAACAGGAAGAGGGAUCCAAGGUGAAGGUGGCCCAGUCAAUCAUCUUCCCAAAAUCUAAUAGACAGCCCUCCUUCAAGAGAAAAAGGGAGACCACACCAAAAGGCAUUCAAGCUUAAGCAAAGACUUUCCAUAUAGGAGAAGCAAUUGAAUUCUUCUAGUCCUUGGAUCAAAAUAGCAGUUGUAGUAGUUCACUCAAGCCAUUGUUUUCCCAAUAUAAUCACCAUUUGAGUGAAAUAUCUAGCACCAUUUUGCAAGCAUGGUUUUGUUUGUAUCAUUCAAGUUUUUCACUCCUAACCCCCAUCCUCCUUGGCUUCAAAAACUUUACCCUAAUAAAAAUUGGAGAGAAGCACAUAACUACUAGUGACCCUUUCCAAAGAAAAGCUUUAUGAAGUCUAUCAAUAUGUUUUACUACCCAAACAAUGAACUUGAAGACUAAUAAGUAGUAGCUGCGAAGAAUAGAUAAAAUAGAAUUAAUUCAAGUUAAUUGGCCCUCAAAAGAAAGGUAGGUCCCUUUCCAACUGGCCAGGCAUUGAUCAAAUCUCUCAACAGAAAAUCUUGAAUCAAAAAGGAGAAGUCCUAGAUAACAGAAAGAAAGGGACUUUUGUUUAUUGUUGAGCAUUGAGGAAAAAGAAACUCCCAUAUAUAUUAGUGCCAAGAGACAAGAAAAAACUUUCCACAAAAACAAAUAUAGAGUUUGGAAAGAAACUCGAAAGAGUAGAGAAUUGGCUUUUAAUGAUCUGACUUGUUCAACCUCAUGUUGAUAGAAGAGGAGAGUGUUGUUCACAAAUUGUAGGUUGCAAAUUUCAUGCUCAAAUAUAUAAAUCUAGUUUCUCUAAAUAGAUUGAGAACCUUGCUAAGAACAUUCACUGCUAAGGUAAAGGAAAGAAUGAAAGAGGAUCUCCUUGCCUAGAACCUCACCAGCAUUUUAUCCAAUGACUAGCCUCUCCAAUCUCCAUUAACAAGCACUGCCACCUUUGAAGUGCAGAUGAUAGAGUUUAAACAAGAAAUCCAAAGAGUGGUAAAGCCUCCAUAAAGAGAAGUUAAAAGGAACUCAAAGCUUAGAAAAUCAAAAGCUCUUUCAUAAAUCUAACUUGCAAGGAUGCCCCCUAUUUUGUGAAUUUAAGAAUAAGAUAAUAAUUCAUGAGCACCAAGAAAAUUGUUGAGAAUCGAGCACCCCCUUACAAAAGCAAAUUUUGCAGGAUCAACAAGAUCAAAUAGAAGAGAAGCUAACCUAUUAGCCAAGAUAUUGAAAAUGAUUUUUACAACAUCAUGGAUGAAAUUGAUGCAUUUGUACUCUUUGGGAGUAGAUGUUGUUCAGUAUUGUGAUCUAGAGAGUUGAAGGCAAUAAUCAGUCAUGAAACAUACUAGAAGCCAAGGAAGGUGGAACUGUGCCAAACCGUACUAACUGUAGAUCGGGAUGGUUCCAGCAUUCGAAAUGAGACACCGACAAAGAGGGGAGGGAGAAGGAAAGAGAUGAAAAGAGAGAGGAGGACAGAAAGAAGAGAGAGAGGGAGAGAGAGCUCUCGAAGGCCUGUCGAGGCUGCCAAAGGGCCGCUAUGCCUGUUGAAGGGCCAGCAAGAAGGGGGGAGGGAGAAGAGGAGAGAGAGAGAGAGAGAGAGAGAGAGAGAGAGACAAGAGAGAGCANNNNNNNNNNNNNNNNNNNNAGGAGAGAGAGAGAGAGAGAGAGAGAGAGAGAGAGAGAGAGAGCAAGAGAGAGCAUUCGGAGGCCCGCCGAGGCUGCUAGAAGGCCAAAGGCGGCUGGUUAAAAUAGGGGCAUCCACCUUUGUUUCAUGUUCUCUUUUUUUGGGGGGGGGGUGGGGAGAGAUAUUGGAUGAAGUUAACAACGCCGUUGCCAACUUCACUUAAUAAUCAAUAUACAAUUUUUCUUUAUAUAUCUUAAAUAGAUUUUUUAACUACUACAUACUAAAGCUCAGGCUUAAAGUGGUGGUUAAUGUUUCUUAACUAUUAACUGAUAAUUUGAUAUCUCAAUUGUUAAAUAACAGCUGAGAUCUCAGAAUAUAUUCAUCUUUCUGAAAUUCUCCAACCUUUCAUCCUAGCCAAGAGAAACUAGUAUCUUGGUUCACCCAGGCAUCAAUCACCUGCUAAGAUGGCUGAUAUAUCAGCCUUUAUAAACCCUGGAUAUAAAGGCAACCAGUUCACUGAAGGUCUAGUACUAAUGUAAGAGAUAAGCUGAACAAAACUGUCUUUUAAAAAGUUGAACAUAAAUAACCCCAGUUCGCAACGGACAUGAUUAAAGAGCAACCUUCUAACUGCAGUUAAAGAGAUCAACAUCAAGGAGAUAAAAUUAACCAAUAUGAAAAUAAAUGACCAAACUCAAGUUACAGAAGAAAAAUAAAUUCCAUAGCAAUAAAAGUUAUAUUCUUCAAAACCUACAUAACUGUUUCUUCUGAAAAACAGUCACCUGUCCAGGUGCAACGGCAGGACUAGAAGACGGCAGUACUACCUGCUGUUGUAAAACUUCAGGAUCAUUAGGAGCCCCAGGACCCUGUCAUUAAGCAAAAGAAAAUAUGUAUUACAUUCAAAUGCAUAACUUUGUGACCAAGUCCAAUCACAAACAACCUGUCUGGUUCGUUGUGGCUCUGCAUCAUCAGAUGGGCAUUCCUCAGGGGACCUUUGUGUCCGACCACAUAUUGCCAAGACCUCAGCGACUUGAGCUUGAAGUAACUCACAUUUCUGCUCAAUGGACUCUAACUGGUUCAUGAACAUAUUCUUCUGGUCUUCCCAGAUCCUUCUAGCUUCUGUGACUUCCACCAUAGACUCUGUGCACUGAAUGCCAUUUUGUACAGCAGUCAAAAGAGCACCAGGUGGGAUCAAAUUGUCCUCAAAGUUAAAGUUCUUCAUCCCAGACUCGUAGUCGAAAGCAAAUGCUGCAUUUGUAUAACCUUAGAGAAAUAGGAUACAUCAUAUAUGUUAGCAUUCCACAUCGCAUUAACCUUACAUCCAUGUAAUAUGCCACACUACAUAUAACUGGUGUCAGAGGGAUGUAAGAUUCAAAAAUACAUUGAAGAAAAAAAGCUUGGGUCAGAACUAGAGAAAGACAUGAAUAAAGAACAUGGAGAAGCAAGGCAAACAAGCACUUUGGAUCGAUAGAACAAAUAACUGCCUGGUAUUUGAAAGGAAUGACAAGCAGCCUUUAAGAAAUGAACCAUCAUUGAGGUCAUCAAAUAGCACCUUUUACAAAUAAAUUAAAUCAUUGCAACUGCAUAUCAGACAAAUUAAUUUGUGAUGAUCCUCAUGAAACCUAAUAUACUUAAGAUUCACGAAGUUCAAGACAUAAGUGUAAAAUGUUUAAAGAGUAUGGUUGCAAAACCAACCAAACCAGAAAACAAUUCAGGCUUGAUUUAUAAUCUUCCAAGCCAACUCCUCUGGCUGACAAUACCAAAAAUUUAUAUAAUCAGAUAUACCCAACCCUGGUCCAGCCUAUUUGCGUAUCUCUUAAAAUCUAGAAUGUCAACCUCAUAAGAAAGAAACAAUGACAAAAAUAGAAAUAUAUAAAGUUGUUAGAUAUAAGAGACACAGGCCUCUGAUGCUAUAGAAAGAGAACAUUUGAAACCUUCCACACCUCCCAUUUUUUAAUAGUCAUGCAGGUGUUUAAGCAGAUCUGGAUCCAACCAGUACUUGGCCCAAUUUGGACCAAACCCACACCUCAAGUUCAAACAUAUGGCUCUUAUAUAAUCCAAAAUUGAGAACAAAUCUAUAUCCAGGUCAGUAUGGAUCUUAAAAAACUAUAUCUGACCCAAAUGAAAAAAGUAAGAUCAAUUGUCUGGGUCUAAACAUUUGCUGUUAGACCUAAUCUAUGAUCAACCUGAAAAAGGGAACCAGCCAAACCUGACCUGAAUGGAUCAGAUCUAGAUCUAAAUCUAAGGUCCAAGCUGGAUCUAACCCAACCUAGCUCAUCUGCAACUGUAAUUUGAUGCAAUCAGGGGGGUGCAAGUAUGCUCUUCAUCCUGCUUAGGCAUCAUCACGACAAAAACUAAAGAUAAAUUAUUAGCUAUAACUGACUUCUAGAUCACAGACAUAAGAAAACCACGGGCAAUUUCUUACUAGCAUAACUUUAAAUUACUAUUAGAAGGAAAAGAUAAAUUGACAGGAUUCAAUUGUCCAUGCUAAAACAAUUUGAGCUUGGAUGGUUUGGGAUGAAUCACACCUGGAGCAUGCAAGGCAGAAUGUUAGCUGCAGUGUAGCUUAAAACAAAAAAGACUCACGAGUCAAACAUUAUAGAACAUUAUAUAAUGUCCUAAUUGAACAUUAUAGAACACGAGUCGAACACAUGACUAAACUCAUGAGCGAUACAUUUAACUCAUGGCAGACAAGGAGCAGACAGGAAAGAUCUAACAUAGAGCUCUGCCACAAGCUGUCAUCCCCAUAUGGCCAAGAGAGUCUAGGGGUGCAAAUGAGGCAUGCUAGCCAAGUAUCAGGCUGCUUGGCUCAGCUCAGAACAUCAAAGGAGCUUCUCGAGCUUGGCUCAAGCGCAAGCCAAACUUUACAUGAAGAUUUGAGACAGGUUUUAGUCAAGCUGAGCCAGGCUUUCCCAAUUGUGAACAAGCUAGUUCUUGGCUCGUCUACGAAGCUGAGAUCCAAAAAAUUUUUGAGCUUGGCACAUUUUUUAGCUGAGCUCAAAUGAGAAAUUAUCAAGGUAAGAUUGAGCUUCUAGGUUUAUUUGCAACUCUAGCCAAGACCCCUGAUGUUCAUGUCCCUCCACACUUACCCCUCCCCCCACCCAACCUCUCUCUCUCUCUCUCUCUCUCUUCUCUCUCUCUGUUGUCANNNNNNNNNNNNNNNNNNNNNACCUCUCUCUCUCUCUCUCUCUCUUUCUCUCUCUCUGUUGUCACCCAAAACUAUAAGCCCCUCUCCAAAGGAGUGACUCCCAAACCAAAAAAGAGUUACAAAAAUCUAGAAUUAAGAUCACUACAAAUUUUAAGCCUCAAGCUUCUUUCGUACAAAAUAAUAAAGGAAAAGAAAAUUGACCAACAACCCUUGCUAAACAUGAGACUAUAGAAAAUAGAUUAAAAUUGCCUGCGCCAAAAUCUCCACCCUUCAGCCAUUUCAGCAUGAUGUUUUAAAAAACACACCAUGAAUCCUCUCCAAUAUGCUUCUUCAUUUUGCUUUUUACUCUUAUCUAGCCAUGCUUCUCAUCUUGACAUUCUAUCCUUUUCCUAUGCUUCUAACUAGAUGGACUAAAUAAUUUCUUUUAUGAACUGGAUUUCAACUGUUACUUUAUAAAAGAAAAAUCUGGCCAUUUAUGGCACUUUAGGUAAGUGAGGAGCUUGAACUACACUUCAUCCAAAUAUGUGCAGUUUUAGGUGUUUGUUUAUGUUAAGUGAGCUUGAACUGGGAGAAUGUGGUCAUUUGGCAUGCCCAAAAUACUAAACUUGACCAAGGCAAAGUCAAAUUCAAAGGAAGCAAGUCAGAUAUUAAUCAAAAUUUAGGCAUGUCAUAUGUAUUUGAACCUGUUUUACUAAGCCCAGAGCCCAUCAAACUUAACUAGACCUGUUCCUGCCCAACCUAACUGAAUCGCUUUUAACCUGAUCCAACUAAAUCAAUUUUAACCAGAAUCAAGCUAACCCAGCUCCUUUCAGUUGGACCUGGCUUAAGCCAAUUUACCAUGACUUCCAUGUCUUACUAUGAAACAAACAUCCAAAUGAUAGUUCGGUUCCAACAACUAAAACACUGCUUUCUGGAGCUGUAUGACAUCUAACUGCAGCGCGGCAAACCAUACUUCUAUCAAGUCCCCCAUUUCCUGCAAAAAUAGAAAAACACAGAACAAAUCCAAAAGAGACGGUCCACUUCCUUCCUCCAUUUCUUUCGUGCAAUUUCACAUAGGAUUCUGGCAAAAUUCAUUGCCAUAUGACAUUUUCUUUCCAGCAUUAAAAGUUCAGCAUAUGCUAAGGUCCUACAGAGCAAGGAAUAAUAUGUAAUUGCAAUUAUACUCCACAUACUACUUAAGAUAAAUUUCUUGGAAAGCCAAUCCUUCAUGCCCUUAAACCCAAGUUCAGGGAUUUUCAACUUCAAGGGAAAGUGAAUUUCAAGUAGCUAUCACCCAGCACAAGAAAAGGAUUUGCUGCCUGUUUGGUACUGCUUUGUUCUCUGUUUUUGUUUCGAAACCCCAAGAAGAAAAAUAAACUAGGCUGAACAACAUGUAUGAUGUGAACUUUUUACUUUUUUCGAAAGCAUAUGUAAAAUCAAAAACUGCAUGUGGUUUAGAAAUAAGAAAAAUGGGAAUAGUAAAAGGUACGCCUAUGGGAAUACUUAUGUCACGAGUCAUGCCAAUUUUGUCUGGCUCCACUUUCAAUAGCAAAAGGAACCUUUUUGGAACAACUUUUGGAUGAUUAAUUUUUGAUCCAUAAAAUAGUAAAAAUAGCCAUAAAAAGUUUCCUUAUACCAAGGAAUAGAUUAUGAUAAUUCUUUUUAAAAAUAGUUAUGACCAAGAUUCACCAAACUAUCCGAUUCGAAACAUGCCGAACCAUACCGACGGCCAAUCUGGAUGGUUCCAGCGUUGAAACAAAGCAGCGAUGAGGAUGGGGGGAGGAGAAAAAAAGAGAGGAAGAGACAAAGGGGGGAAGGAAGAAGAAGAAAAUGCCAAGGAAGCCACCGAGGCCUCCGGAGCUCUAUCCUUCUCCGAAAAGAGGAAGUGAGAGAGAAAAAGAGAGAGGGAGGGAGGGAUGAGAGAGGGUAGUGAGACCGAUGGUGGUCGAUAGAGGACCAUGGAGGCCUUUGGAUUGCCGGAUUUUCCUCUCCAUCCUUCAUUAGGUCGAAAUAGGGGUGACCCGCUCUAUUUUGAUCAAAACAAUGGGCAACCUUGUAAGUCAACUUCACUGUGAGUCAACAAAAAAAAUAAAUUAAUAAAAUCAUGGAUGAAGGGUGAGGAGGAAAUCCAGCAAUUUGGAGGGCUCCAUGGCACUUCGGUAGCUACCGCCAGUCUCUCCUCCCUCUCCCUUUCCUUCCCUCCCUCUCUCUCUUUUUCUCUUUUUGGUUCUCCCUCUCCCUCUCUCUCUCUACUGUGUCAGUUUGGGCCCAGUAUGGAAUGGCAUAGGGGCAUACCAAACCGUGCUACUAGCCGACUGAUAUAGCCCUGGUUAUGGCACAGUGAACCUUGAUUAUGGUUGUCAUAAGCAAGUUUGAUCAACAUAACUAUUCCUCAGUUAUGCCUCCUUCCAAAAUGUUAUUUUGCAGGCACAAGGCAUCAAAUGCCGACUUUUUGUAACAAUGAUAUAUCUUUUUGAUUGCUUUAAAAAUGUUGAAAAUAAAGCAUGGAAUAGCAGAAGUUUUGCGCAAAAUACUGUCUUCAACGUCAAUCACCACGUGAUAUAUUACUAAUUUUUCAAGGAGCAAAAACUACAAAAACAGUAUUUUACUAAUUUUUCAAGAAGAAAAAGGUACAAAAACAACAACAAUAUCAAGCAGGCCCCAAGCUUUUCAUUCCUAUUAUAUUUUCUGCAAACACUUCCAUCAGGUCUAGAUAUAGUCAAUGUGGCCAAAUCAAAUUCUAUUAGGUGUUCAGCCAUUUUAUUUAAUCUACUUCUUCCGUUCGUUUUUUCUUCGAAUGUACCAUCUAAUUUCUUUCUCUUCAAAAUAGAACAAAACUUAUCUCAAUCUAAAAUUCACCACUCAAAAGAUUACAACAGAGCGAAACCGGAUUCCAAAACCUUUGAAACAAAACCUGAAGCGUACAAAGGCCCUACAAAAGUUCUUUAAUCUACUUUUUGCAUAUGUUCUUCGUUCAGAGUUCAGAAAACCAAACCUACGACUAUCACAUCCAAAAUUCACCACUAAAAUGGGCAUAACGGCAAAAAGCGAGAGAUCAGAUUCUAAAACCCAUGAAACAAAAACUCCCGCACAUCAAAAAAGCAAGAAAAUAGGCGUAUAAAGACCUCAAAAAGGUUCCUUAGCAAACAAGAGACCCUAAAAAGAUUAGAAAGUGGAUUGAAAACCUCAAGAAAUACGAGAUGAUGAAGAUAAAAGGAGAGGGAACGAGAGGGAGAAUAUUUGAUGGGAAAUGGUUGUGAGAGACGGACCAGACUCUUCGAGGUAGCGGGAGACGAGGAAGUUGAGCUCGUCGGUGGUGACGGGUCGGGACAGAAACGACUGCGGGGGAGGCGGGGGAGAGUCGUCGCUCGCCAUCGCCGCGAGCCGAGACAAGGCAAGAAAGAGCGAGCGGAUGAAGGCGACGGUCGGAACUUGUAACGCCUCUCCAAAAGCGAGUCUCGCGUGGCAAUGGACUGCGCUGACACGCGGUGGGGGCCAGCAAUCUCAACAACAUCCCGCACGCACGGCGUGAGUGAGACCUGUGGGUGGGACCAAGGCCCAGGCCCACGGCCCACGGCCUGCAGACCGCAGCAUACCUACAAGCUCUUCUAUGGGAAGUGACGUGGCUGCACGUAGGAACUCACCAUACACUGUUUCGGGCCCAGACUUGAAAAGGGUAAUUGGAGCCAGAUAUGUGCACCCAAAAGGUUCACCCAGCAAGCAACCAAGGAGAGUUGGUGUAGCAAGGUUUAAUUGUAGUUUAGUUGAUGCCUAAAUAUCAUGCAGGAAUUUGUGCAUCAAGGCUUUAUUGUAGUUUAGCCAUGCAGACUCAUAUUACUCAUUUUUGGUGCGCAAACACGGGCACCCCAAAACAUUCUCCUACUAAUAAUUAUUAUUGUGGUUACAUGGUUGCGUCAGCCAUUAUAACAAUUCCCGUCCCUGUUCAUUGUAUUAACUUCGUGAUACAAAAAUGAUAAUUGCCAUUAUUAGUGUUAUAAUGAUCCAUUAAUGUACAUAACAUUUAUUAUUUGUCACUUGAUUAUUUAUUUAAUAAAAUAAUAUUUUAAAGUUCAAUUAUUUCUCAAAACUUCUCUUUUGAAAAGGUUUUCAUGGUACACACAAGGUUGAACUAGAGUAACAAAACCUAGAACAAAUGUAGAAGUGUAUGGGUUAGAAUUUAGCUUUAGAAACAUGCCACUUGUUUUGUCCUCUGUAUGAAUAUUUUUUCUCAAUUGUUAUAAUAUAUGGUAAUAUUAUUUUACAGACAAACGAUACUUUGAGUAGUAAACAAAAUCCAAAAUACGUUCGUUCUCAUCCCAUCAAUUUUAAAACUAAUUCAUAGAAAAUUUUUCUAACUUCUCUAACUUUUGCACUAGUACAUUAUUUAGAUAAAAUUUACUCGAAACAUCAACAUUAAUAUUAGUAGAAAAACAUGAUUGAUAAGCAAGAUUAACUCUUAACUGUGUUUUUUUUUCUUUUUCUUUUUCUUGUGCUUACAACUCAAACAUUGAAAUUGCAUAUAAGUAACUAGCAUUAUCUUGUUAAAUACUAUCCUCAAAUCUUUUACAUAUGUAUGUAUGUAUGUAUAUAUGUAUGUAUGUAUGUACAUGGUGCUCUCCAUAUGUUAUAUGGACACCAAAUGAUGUGAUCAUCAUUAAAAUUUAUUACUUAAUAUGUAAUCGAUAUUAAUAACUUGGUAUUGAUAUGCUUGACUAUCAUUAAAAGUCAUUACUUAAUAUGCAAUAAAAAUUUGAUUGUUGAAGUCUUUCAUUAAUUAUAAUUUGUGAACCUAUUACAUGAUAUUUUAAGACUAGUUAAAAAAGAAAGAAAAUUAUAUCCUUCGCUCAAGGCUUAUACUAUUAAUGCUAGUAGCCAGGCCUAUAUUAUUCAUACGGGAAUUAAUGACGUGAGUUUGAGGUUUUUGUGCAAGUUUUUUGUUGGUCACGUGGAUAUUGGAAUUGAUGGCAAAAGCUUCUACCCAACCACCAUUAAAGUUUAUUAUUUAAUAUAAAAAUUUGACUAUCAAAACUUUCUAUUUACCGUACUUUAUUAUAUUAUUAUAUUAUAUUUCAAAAAUAAUUGAAAAAAAAAUUGUAUGCGGUGAUCUAACAUAUUAUGAUACUAGUAUCAAUGACAAAAAUUUAUUCACGGAGACUUAGCUUAUUUAGAGUUCUUCGCAUGCUAUGUGGAUACACGUAUUAAUGACAAGAGUUUCAUCUCAACCAUGAAUAAAAUUGAUUGCUUAAUGCGCAAUAGAAAUUUGAAUAUCAAAACCUUAUCUUAAUUAUAAUUUAUUAUAUUGCUAUAUCACAUUUCAAAAAUAGUUAGAAAAAGAGAAAAAACGGUAUAUACCUUGCAUAUUAUGGAUUAUAUGCUAGUUUUAUUUUAAAAACCAGGGCUUUUAAUCUUUUAACUAGUGCUUGAUGAGGAUUUUAAGGAAAGAGAAAACUAUUAGGCAAGGCUACACCAAAGUACACGACAAAAAUGAUGAAUUACGCUUCAUCUUGAUCUAGAAAAUAGAUCUUGCUUCGGGCUUUCUAGAUGUACGAAACAACAAAAAUGCCAAUAGCCAGCAAACUUUUGUCUCGAACUUGGAGUCUAUUUUAAAAAGCUAUUCAUGAUGUUAGAAAAAAAAAUGUCAACAUAUAUAUAGAGUCAUCAACUCAUUUUCUUUGAUGCAAUGUAAUUAUCACUAAAUGAGCCAACCCAAGCCAAGUUUAGUGCAUCAGUCAAAUUCAUAUUAUGUAGAAAGGAUAUUUGAGCGGAGGCAAGAUUGACAAUAUAUGUUUAAAUUCAGCUCGGUUGUGAAUUAAACCAAGUUUGAAUAAGCUUGUUAGUUGUUAUUAAGCCACAUCAAGCUUCUAUUCAUUUUUCAGAAGCUUGGAGAGCUCCAAUUCAUCCAUGAGAUUGAUGAGUUGAGCUUUAACUCGCAAUCCAGCAAGCUGAGUCAGAAGAAGAAGCCUGACCCCGAGUCAUCGAUCCUGUGCAAAAAAAUUAUCUUUGGAAUCAUUGCGAGGCAUCGGCACUCGACGAGCAUUCUAUCAGCUGCCAAACUAGUAGCUAUUCAAACAUGCCCAGAACCAAAAGCCGCGGCUGGAAGUGUACUGUCACGCUUGUAAGGGAGUUGGAGGAAAAACACAAUUUUUUUUCCGUUCCAAGUUUUCUAAAAAUUUUGUUAUUAGUUUAGUCCAACAUUGAAAAGGACAAUCUCUUUGAUGUUUAUAUACUUUUUUUUCUUACCCACCUUUGAUCAGGUCAAAGAGGAAAGUGGGUUUUACAUCACACAAAUAUGCCUGCUGGCCGGACAUGGUGUGGCACAUGAUGGUACAAUAUUUUAUAUUUAUAUUUAUAUUUUUUAUUUUAAAUCAUCACUAUCAUCACUGACGGACAUAUCUUCCUUUGACCGAUCGUUUUCCAUUAUGGUCAACCGGUCAAAGCAUCUCUUUUUUUGCAUCUUCUCAUGGUUUAUAUAAAACCAUGAGUUUGGACAAUAUGGGACACUAAAAAGAAAGCAAUGGUCAUAUUCCUCUUCUCAAGUCUUUGCUUUCUCUCCUACUUCCUCUCUUUUGUAUUUAAAUACUCCUCUACUUUUGCUCUCUUUGCUGAGUUUUAAAAAAUCUAUUGACCCUCUUCACAAUCAUGCUCAAAGAGAGAAUUUUUUAAUUAUAUCUUGGUAUAGAAUCUCUAAUAAACACCGGUACGAAGGUCAGAAAUUUAUCUUAGGACAGUGAUUAUAUGCUUUCAGGUUUUCUCCUUCAUCUACAUCAUAAAUUAAUGAGCCAAUCCAACCAAGCUCAUGAUAAGUCAAUUUUUUAUUCUUAAUUUUAUAAGUAGUAUUUAAAUAGAACUUAAAAUCUUUUAAUUUUAUCAAAAAUACCGCUUUAUGGAAACUCUUUUAAUGUUUGACUAAAAUCUUUUCACAAAGAAGAAUUUGUAUGUAACAAUCUAAGGCUAAAAAUUUUUUUGGAUUACUCUAUUUUAGUUUGUCUAAAAAAAUCAUUUUCAGUAUUUUAAUUCAUUUAAAAUAUUAAAUUAUUGAAAUAGUAUUUUUUUUAUUAUUCUAAAGGUCGAUUGCUAACAUCUGCUUGUGGGUCUCCUGUGAACUCUAAGAGUCUUGAUAUUCUGCAAACUCUAUUUAUAACUUUAUUCAAAUUCUCUAAAAUUAAAUUGCUUGUAAUCUUAAUUAUAUAUUAAUGGGUGUCAAGGAAGCUUCAACCCUCAAAUCCAAAAAAUUCAAUGGCCAUAGGUUCCUUAGGUGGCAAGAACAGCUUGAGGCCUGGUUAAUCACAUUAUGCCUCAUAAUUGCCAUUGGAAAAAGGCCACCAUAUGAUGUGUCAUCUUCCUCAUUUAGGUCAAGAUCUUCUAUCAAAUCAUUUGAUCCCUCAGACAGCUCUAGAACCAAUAAGUCAUCUAAAGAAAUUGAGUUUCAUUAUAGGUUUAGAAUUCUUAGUUGUCUAUCAACACAUAGAAAAUAUAAAAUUGUUAAGAAACUUUGGAUUGCCCUAGAAGAUGCCUAUAAUAGAGACAAUAAAGAGGCCAUGAGAUCUAUCAUUAGUUACUUUAGCAACUUUAAAAAUGAUAAAUAAUGUCUCCAUUAAUGACUAAAUCCAUUAUUUUCGAAAUUUAGCCUAAGAGAUUUAUAGAGGAAGCUCGACAUUAGAUGAAAACUAUCAAGUUUCUUGUCUAAUUGACAAGCUUCUACCAUCAUGGACUAAUUUUGGAUGUGACCUUAGAAAAACCCAAGAUAACUUUACCUUUAGAUCAGUGAUUCAAGCCAUUAGAAUAGAAGACUAAUACCAAAUUAAAGAAUGAAAGGAAAACCAAAUGAAAGCCAAAGUAAAUGUGAUGAAAUCACAAAACCUAAAACAAAAAUUUGAGGAUCAGAAUCAUUAUGGCUUGAGCCAAACAUUUAAACCUAAGAACUUCAAAACCAAGAGUAAAAGAAAAAGGGAUAAAUUCCAAAACCAACCUAAACCUAAUUCUUAAACCAUAGGAAUCAAAAAAUCUACUAAUGGGAGGUUUUGCUUUGUUUAUGAUCGAGACAACCAUCUUGCAUAUUAGUGCUUCUAUAGGAAGAAAAAAAAAGUUGUGACUAAGAAAAAGAAGAACAAAUCUCAAACUAAACCUUCGAUCAAUAUGGUUGAAGGAGAACUAUCCACAUUUAGGUCAGUAUCAUUUAUCCCAUUAGUUAACUUUACCUAUAAAACCACUGAUUGGUGGCUAGACUCUAGUGCUAAUAUUUAUGUUUGUAUUGAUAGAGUAUUUAGUUUCUCUUAUUAGAACUCAAGUGGAGAAAAUGUGAUCAUAAAAAAUGAAACAGCUAUCAAUAUUUUGGAUAGAAAAAAUAUCAGCCUAAGAUUUAUCUUUGAAAAAGCAUUAUCCUUCAUGUGCAACAUGCUCCUGAUAUCAAAAAAGACACCUUAUCAAUGGGUCCUUAUUAGUAAAAUUUGGAUAUAAAAUUAUAUCGGAGUCUAAUAAGAUUUUAAUUUCUAAAGGUGAUAUAUUUAUUAGGAAAGAAUUUAUAUUUAAGAGAUUAUUCAAACUCAAUGUAAUUUCUCCUUCAGUUAAUGAAAAUUCUUUUUCAAAUCCUUCUCAAUCAAUUUUAUUAAAUUCCAAAGCCUGUGAUAUUUAGCAUUGUAGACUAAGACGUGUAAAUUUUAAAUCCAUUCAAAAGAUUUUCAAUCUUAAUCUUAUUCCUAAAUUUAAGAUUGAUCAUAAAUCUAAGUAUGAGAUCUAUACUCAAUCCAAACAAACUAGAAAAUAUUUCAAACCCAUUCCUCAAUGAGAUACUCAACUUCUUGAACUAAUUCAUAGUGUUUUGGUGACUCUUGUAGAAAUCCAACCCGUGGAGAUAGUUAUUAUUUUGUGACCUUUAUAGAUAUCUUUUUUAAAUAUUAUUAUUCCUAUCUUCUGAAGAUCAAGGAUGAAAUCUUCAAUAAGUUUAAGAUAUUUAAAGUUGAGACUGAAAAUCAAACUGAAAAGAAGAUCAAAAUCCUAAAAUCUGAUCGUAGAGAAGAAAGAGUAUACUUCAAAUGAAUUUGCUUUAUUCUAUGAAAAAUAUGGUAAAUUCAUGAAGUUCUGCUCUUUACCCUCCUCAAUAUAAUAAUCGUGUUGCUGAAUGAAAGAAUAGAAAUCUUUUGGAUAUGGUUAAUGUCAUGAUCAUUAGUUCUGAUGUUCUAAAAAACUUGUAAAAAUUUUUUUUUUGACUUCUACUUUCAUUCUUAAUAGAAUUUUAUCAAAGAAUAAAGAAAAGACUCCCUAUGAGUAUUAGAAGGGACAUACACCAAAGUUGAGUCGCUUCCAAGUCUUAGGGAGUUUAGCUAAGAUUAUUAUUUUUAAAUUUAAGAGAAAUAAAAUUGAUCCUAAAACUAUUGAUUUUAUUUUUGUUGGUUAUUUUCUUGAUAAUCAUUUCCUUGUUAUUCAUUUUAAUUUUAUUGAUAUAUCCAUUAAUACCGUAAUCAAAUCUAAAGAUGCAAUUUUUUUUGAAAAUAUAUUUUCUUUCAAGACUCAAAUCCCUAGAUCCACACUUGAUUAUAACUCUUAUUCCUUAUCUAGUUCAUCUUUAAUCUCUUGUCCUCUAAUCCCUAAUGAUCCUGCUUCAAAUCAACCUGAUCUUUCUUCUAAGCCUUGAAGGAAUAAAAAAGUUAAGAUCAAAGAAACCUGGGUGAAGAUUUCUUUACUUUCUUAGUUGAAAAUAUACUUAUCUCAUACCAGAAAGCUAUGAGAUCUCUUGAUACUCUAUUUUGGAAGGAGAAAAUCAAUAGUGAGGUUGAAUCCAUUAUUGAAAAUAAUACUUGGAUUUUUACUGAUUUACCUUCUGAAAUCAAACCUUUAAAUCAUAAAUGGAUCUUUAUAACUUAGGAAUGAUGAAGUGGUGAAAACAUAUAAGGUGCGACUUGUAGUCUAAGAAUUUGAACAAAAAACCAGUAUUGAUUUUUUGGAUAUUUUUACGCUUGUUGCUAGUAGUAUCACUAUCUAUAUCCUUUUUGCUCUCAAUUCCAUCCAUAAUCUCUUUAUGCAUCAAAUGGAUGUGAAGACCAUUUUUCUUCAUAGAGAUCUUAAUGAAAAAAGCUAUAUGACUCCACCUGAAGACUUCAUAUUGCUCGAUCAAAAGCUACUACAAGGAAAUAGGAUUUUUAUGAUAAAAUUAUUUACGAUGUAAAUAUUUUUAUAGUAAAUAGCUUUAUUUUUUAUGCAAAUAUAGUUCCAUCAUAACUAAUCAAUUAUUUACGAUAUAAAAAAAAUUUAUCAUAAAUAAUUAUUAUAUAUGACAUAAAAUAUAUUUUUCAUCAUAAACAUUAACUAAUUUGUGAUGUAACUUUCCAUCACAAAUAACAGAUGAAAAUCACAAAUAUUAAAAAAAAAUUAUCAUUUAUUUGUGAUGAAAAGUUUUCACAUCGUAAAUACCAGUUAUUUAUGAUAAAAAAUUAGUUUUUUGUUGCAAAUAUUGGUUAUUUAUGAUGUAAAAUUUUUAUCAUAAAUAAUAGAUGAAAAUUAAAAAUUUUUUAAAAAAUAAAUAGUAGAAUAUUUAUGAUGUAAAUAUUUGCACCGUAAUUAACCAGUAUUUAUGAUACAAAAUAGAUUUUACAUCACAAAUAUUGAAUUAUUUAUGAUGCAAAAUUUAUAUUUCAAAUAAUCAAAAAAAAUUAAAAUUUUAAAAAAAAUAAAUAUCAGAUUAUUUGCGAUGUAAAAUUUUGCACCUUAAAUAAACUGUAUUUGCAACAUAAAAUAAUUUUUUUAUCAUAAAUAUUGAUUUAUUUAUGAUAAAAAAUUUACAUCAUAAAUAAUCGAUGAAAAUCAAAAAUUUUAAAAAAAUAAAUACCAGAUUAUUUGCGACGUAAAUGUUUUACAUCGUCAAUAAAAAGAAUUUAUGAUGCAAAAGGGAUUUUGCAUCAUAAAUAUUGAAUUAUUUGUGAUGUAAAAUUUUUAUUAUAAAUAAUCAAAAAAAAUAAAAAUUUUAAAAAUAUAUAUCAAAUUAUUUACAAUAAAAAAUUUUGCAUCACAAAUAAAACAUAUUUACGAUGCAAAAUAAAUUUUCUACAAUAAAUAUCAACUUAUUUAUGAUGAAAAAGUUACAUCACAAAUAAUUGAUGAAAAUUAAAAAUUAAAAAAAAAUAAAUAGUAGAUUAUUUGUGAUAUAAUUUUUUUGUAUUGUCAAUAAAAAGAAUUUGCGAUGGAAAACAUAUUUUGUAUCACAAAUAGUGAAUUAUUUGUGAUGUAAAAUUUCCAUCACAAAUAAUCGAUCAAAAUCAAAAAUUUAAAAAAAAUAUCAUAUUAUUUGCGACAUAAAUAUUUUAUAAAUUAAAAAAAUAAUUUAAAUAUUUUACAAUCAAUUUUUCAAUCAUAAAUUUUUUAAUAUUUCAUAACCAAAAAAUCGAUCGAAAAUAUAUUUUGCAAUCGAAUACAUUUUUUUCUAUUUUUCUCUGAAUAUGGUAUAAUUUUAAAUUUUAAAUUCUAUCUUCACCAUUCAUUGUCUAAAUAAUUAUCAUUAGAGUAUCAUCACAAAAGAUCACCUCGAUGCGAUAGCCCUAACUAUGUCGAUCAAUAAAAUUUGAUUUCAACGGUCAUGAAUGAUUGUGUCAUGAUCUGAUAGAUAGAGACCAUCGAUGGGUCUAAAAAUUUGCAACGAUAAUCUUGAUGAUAUUUAUAAUUUACUAUCAGAAUUUUACUUCAAUCGAAUAUUAUUAUCAUGGUUAAUUUAGUACGAAAUGAUUUAGAUCGUUAAAUAAAAAAUGAAUGAUCAAAAAGCCAAACGAUAUCCGAUUAUAAGAUAAUUUUUUAGAUAAAUAAUCUUUGCUACUACUUUAAUCGUCGGUAUGAUAUUGAUCGUAAAAUAUAAAUCGCACAUAUAUGAACCAUCCACAUUAAGUAGAUCUUACAAAAAUAUAAGUAUUAUUACUUAAGAACUUUAAGAAUGAGUAUCAAAAGAUAUAUAGUUUUAGAUGGUUCAUAUACGUGCGGUUUGAAUUUUAUGAUCAUCACUAUCUAAAUGAUCAAAGUAAUAGCAAAGAUCAUUUAUCUAAAAAAGUCAUCCUAUAAUCGAACACCAUUUGACCUUUUAAUCACUUAUUUUUUAUUUAAUAACUCAAAUCAUUUCAUGCUAAUCGAUCAUGAUAAUGAUGUUCGAUUGAAGUAAAAUUUUGAUAGUAUGCUACAAAUAUCACCGAGAUCAUCGUUAUAAGUUUUCAGAUCCAUCGGUGGUCUCUAUCUAUCAGAUCAUCAUACGAUCGUUCAUGACCAUCGAAAUUAAAUUUUAUUGAUCAACAUAGAUAGGGCUAGCGGAUCGAGAUAAAUUUUUGUGAUGAUACUCUAACGAUAAUUAUUUAGAUAAUGAAUAGUGAAGAUAAGCUUUAAAUUCUAAAAUUAUACCAUAUUCAGAGAAAAAUAAAAAAAAUAUACUAUAAGAAAAUAGGGUUUUUACGAUGGAAGAUAUUAUUCAUCGCAAAUAAGUUAUUAUUUGUAAUAAAAAUUUUAUUUACAUUGUAAAUAGUAAAUUAGUUGUGAUAAAAAAAUUUUGUCGCAACUAAUCGAUAAAAAAUCAAAAAUUUUUAAAAAUUAAAUAAUUUAAGAUGAAAAAUUUAUGUCGCAAAUAAUUUGUAUUUAUGAUGCAAAAGAAUUUUUUGUUGCAAAUAUACUUAUUUUAGAGUGAAAAAUUUUUAGUGAAAAAAAAAUUUUUUUUUGACGAAAAUUAUUAGCAAUGAAAAUUUAGUUUUCAUCGCUAAUAAUUGUUAGUAGCGAUGAAUAUUUUGUUUUCAUCGCAAUUAGUUUUUUUUGAAAUUUUUUUUUGUUAAUUUUUUUUAAAGGAAAAAAAUUUUAGGAAAAAAUAAUUGAUAAAAAUUAUUAGUGAUGAAAAUUUUAUUUUUAUCGCUAAUAAAUUAUUUAGCGAUAAAAAUUUUCCAUCGCUAAUAAUUACAUCGCAAAAAUGCCUAUAAAAAUCCCACUUCCUUGGUUCGUGCAAAAUCUUCCCGCCUCUUUCCCACUCUCCCCACCCUCCCAGCUCUCUCCCUCUCUCCCUCCCUCUCACCCAUCGAAACCCUCUCAAGUUUCCUUACCGACGAGCAUGCCGCCCCUCCUCUAUCACUGUUGCCACCGAUAUUUAAGGUAAACAUUUUUUUUUGGCUCUGCGGGGAAGGGAGGGGUGGGGGACCAUGGGUCGGGGGGAGCGGGGUGGGGUAGAGGGGGCGCCGGGGGGUGGAGGACACGAGGGGGGAUUGUUCCUGUGGACGACCUGUGGUGGCUGGGGGGUGGAGGACACAAGGGGGUUGUGCUCCCACGAACGUCUUGUGGUUGGGGGAAGGAGGAUGGGGGUGGGGGUUUGUUCCCGCGGACGGCCUGCGGGGGCCGGGAGGCAGAGGAUGUGGGGGGGAGGAUGGAGGACCAAGGGCUGGAGGACGAGGGUGGGGCCAUGGGGGGUGUGGGGUUUGCUCCUGUGGAUGGCCUACCAUGGUCGGGGGGUAGAGGAUGUAGGGGGGGUGGUUGUGUUCCGACGGACGGCCUGUGGUGGCCGGGGGAGGGGGGUUGUGUUUCCGUGGAUGGCCUGUGGUGGCCGAGGGAGGGGGCGAUGUUCCCGCAAACGGCCAUCGAGGCCCGAGGGUGUUAUGGGGGAAUGGGGGGAUGAUUUAUUAAUAAUUUAUUAAUAAAAUAAAAAAAAUAUUUUUUAAAAUUAAUAAUUUAUUAAUAAAAUAAUAAAUUUUUAAUGCAUAUGAAAUGUUCCAUCUAGGAUCCAGAUCGAGAUUCGAAUCAGCAUCUGAGUCGGGAUCCGGAUCCACGUCCAGGUUGGGAUCCGAUUGAGGAUCUGAGUCGGAUCGAGGUUGGGAUAUGGGUCGGAUCCAGUCGGGAUCCGGAUCAGGAUUUGGUCCAAAUCUAGAUCAGGAUUUGGUCCGAAUCUAGAUCAGGAUUUGGUUCGAAUCUACGUACAUCUCUCUAUUUUCAUAGAGAGAUGUACGAUAGUGAUUUAAUACGUGCAUUGAUGUAACCUUAAACUUUCAUUCAAGAGUCGGUCCCAGAGUCUCCAAAAUCGAACUCUGUGAAUGACUCUUGGAUAUCCCGUUUGAGUAGUUCAAAAAUGCAUCAAUUUUUUAUUUCUAUAAUAGCAUUCUCUGCUCUAUUGUGAAAAAAUUCUAUUGCAGCUAUCUCAUUUGUUCUUUAGGUACAUAUUAGAUGUGGUUAAAAUAUGAUCCAUCUAUAUCAUAUACUUAAAAUACUAUAGGGAGACACUAGCGGAUUAUCUCUAGAUAUGGAACAAAGAACAAAGCUGUGGCAACCAUAAAAAUGAUAUAUUUUUGAAUGGGAUAAGACCUAUCUUUACCUAUUAGUUGAUGCUCGGAUGUAUUUAUUAUGUAAGUCAUUUUAAAUGAUAAAAUAAUUAGGUAGCAAUUAUCCUGUAUUUAUAUAUGCAGAAUCUUUAAAUAGUGAAUUCAGAUUGAGAUCCGAUCUGGGAUCCGAUUUGGGAUCUUGUCCGGGAUCUGGGUCGGGAUAUGGUUCGGAUAAAUGUCAGGGAUUUUUUUUGUUGUUAACAAUUUUUUUUGUUGUCAGAUGGAUAUCGAUAAAAGUUAGAUGAAUGUCAGAGAUAUUUUUUUGCCUAAAUAGCGACUGGGUGUUCAAAAUUUUAUUGAGUUUGCACGGCGUAAGGUUGACAAUGCCAGUAGGAUAAAGUGUCCAUGUAAGAGAUGUGUCAAUAAAGUAUAUCAUCAUAUAUCACUUGUUGAGGAGCAUCUGCUACAUUAUGGUAUAGACAAGAAGUAUACUUGCUGGAUAUGGCAUGGGAAGGAUGAUCUGAAUGAAAUUAUGCACGACAAUGAUGAUAUUGAAGAUGAUAGUGAUGCUGCUGAAUCUGUCGAGCAUGGUGGUAUAGAUUCACUAUUAGAUGAGUUACAUUAAGAUAUUUACUCAAAUAUACCUAUGAGUACUAGUACAUUCGAAGCCAGUUCUAAUCAUGAACAAAAUAUUAAUGAGGUGAAAGAACUUCUAAAUAGUUUGCAAAGCUUGCAAGAGAUACAUGAGAGCCACUCUAUCCAAAUUAUGUAAAGUUCUCUAAAUUAGAGUUUUUAAUCCAAUUGCUUCAUCUUAAAAUCAUGAAUCAAUAGAGUCAAAAGUCAUUUGAUCAAAAUUGGAUAUUGAUUAAAGCAGCUCUUUUCGAUAGAGGGAGCCUUCCAAAAUCAUAUUUUUGAAGCAAAAAUAUACAUGCGAAAAUUGAAACUUGGCUAUAUUCCUAUAUAUACCUACAAAAAUGACUGUAUAUUAUUUUAUAAGGAGAACGAACAAGCAAGUGAAUAUCUAAAAUACGGUGAGCCUAGGUACAAAAUCGAUAAUAAAAAAAAAAGAUACCUCAUAAGAUUUUGAGAUAUUUUUCAUUGAUUCUAAGACUUUAAAGGUUGUAUAUGUCCACAAAGACAGUUAAAGAAAUGAGAUAGCAUCAUGAGCAAUGGAUUUCGAAGUAGAACAUACUUAGCCAUCCGAUCGAUUCCGUAGUGUGAAAAGAUUUCGAUGCAAAGCAUCUGCACUUUGCGAGUGACCCACGCAAUAUUCAGCUUGAUCUAGCGACAGAUGGAUUUAAUCUCUUUAGCAAUUUGAGUACUUCCUACAGCAUGUAGCCUAUGAUGCUAAUAUCAUAUAAUGUGUCACCUUGAAAGUGCAUGAAAAAAUUAUUUAUUUUUAUGUCACUGUUGAUUUCAGAUCCAAAAGUACCAAGUAAUGAAAUUGAUGUAUAUCUACGAUCCUUAAUCGAUGAUCUGAAAGAGCUAUGAGAAAAUAGAGUACAGACAUAUGAUUCUGUCAGUCGAAAAAAUUUUAAGUUAUAUGUUUCAAUUUUAUGGACCAUCAAUAAUUUUUUUGCGUAUGGAAACUUAUCUGGGUGGAGUACCACAGGAUAUCUGGCAUGUCCAAAAUGCAACAAAGAUACAUCCUCUUUACAUUUAAAGCAUAGAAAAAAAAUUUGCUUCAUGGGUUAUCGGGAUUUUUACCUGCUAAUCACUCUUGGAGGAUCCAUUAUAAUCAAUACUUUGAUAGUAAGUCCGACCGGCAUCCGUCAUCUAAGAAGCUAAAUAGAGCGAAAGUUUUAGAACAACUUGAAGCUAUUGAAAAUAUGAAAUUUAACAAAAUAUCGAGUACUCGCAAGCGAAAGCAUACUGAAACUGAGCUGAAUUGGACGAAGCAAAGCAUAUUUUUCAAACUAUCGUACUGAAAGCAGCUACUACUUCAUCAUAAUCUGGAUGUAAUUUACAUUGAGAAGAAUAUUUAUGAUAAUAUCAUCAGUAUAGUGUAGAACAUCGUAGAAAAAAUAAAAAAUAAUUCAAAAGCUCAUCUUGAUCGAUUUGUAAGAAAUAAGAAUCCGACAGGAGUUGCAUUUAGUUUAUCGAGAUGAUAAAUUUUUUAUGCCACCAGCAUGUUAUUCAUUAUUUGACGAGGAGAAGAAGAGUUUAUUUGGAUGGUUCAAAAUCGUAAAGUUUUCUUAUGCUUACACUUCAAAUGUAUCAUGGUUGUUGGCAACAACGAUGGCAAUAUCUCUAGCAUAAAAAUCAUGACUCCCAUAUGAUGAUGCAGUGCUUGCUUCCUGUGAUCAUGCAUGGCUAUCUGAGUAGUGAUGUUCAAGCUAUAUUGAUUGAGUUAGAAAUGUUCUUUCGAGAACUAUAUUGUCGAAAAUUGAAGAUUAACUUACUUGAAAAGUUUGAGAAGGAUAUUAUGCUCAUUCUUUGUAAGUUAGAAAAAAAAANNNNNNNNNNNNNNNNNNNNUACUUUUUAGUGUUCUAACUAAUUUUUUUAUAUUGAUGUAAAAUUAAAAAUUAUGACUUGUUGCAGUGAGCACAAGAGGAUACUAUCUAGGGAGAAUAAUAUAGAUGUUAAUGAUCGACAUAUGAGAAAAUUUAUAAAAUAAUUUGGAGACCAUGUAAGUUUCAUUAGUAUCAUAUUAUAUUUUAAUAAUUAUCAAAUUAAUUACUUGAACCAACAUAAAUUUUUUAUGUUAUGUUGUAGAUAAAAUCUAAGUAUUUCAAUAAAGAAGAGGGUGCGACCGAUGAGUUGUAUAAUUUAGCAUAUAGUCUCGAUCGAAAGAUUAAUCAUUAUGCAUCCUGUAUCAUUGGAAGAAUGAGAUUUCAUAUAAGAGAGCUUGAGAUGCAAAGAUGGAUUCAGAAUAGUGAGAUUGCUAUGAUAGGAUAUGAAGGAGAAGAGGAGCUUGAAUAUCUUGGUGUAUUGAUAGAUAUCAUAGAACUGAAGUAUGGAUUCAAUAAUUUGAUAUUUUUAUUUCAGUGUGAAUGGUGAAAUAUUAGCAAUAAGAAGAUUGAUAUUCAUAUCGAUCUAUACUUUAUCAGUAUAAAUUUUACAUGAACAUGGUAUCAGAAUGAGCCAUAUAUAUUAGUAACUCAAGCGAAAUAAAUAAUAUAUUUAAAAGAUUCAAAGUAUCGAGGUGAUUGGCAUGUCAUACAAAAAAUAAUAUCUAAAGGCGUAUAUGACAUAUCAACCUGACUAGAGAUGGAUGAAGAUUCAAAUCUACAUAAAGAGAAAGCUUUUCAAGAGAAAGAACAAAUAUUAAUCGAGCUUUUUAUUGACGAAGAACUUGUGACAACUCUUUUGAAUAUGGCUUAUCUGUCGUCCAAUAAAGUUGAAGCUAAUUUUGUAUCUAAUCUUGAUAAUUCGGAGGAUGACGAUCGAUUCAUAAAUGACGAUGAGAUAGAAGAUAAUACAUUAAUCGAUUAUUGUGAUUCGGAGAAGGACCUAUAAAUCAAGGAGGAUAUGGAUAUUGAUAAAUAGAUCUAUAUUCUUUGUUGAAUCUUUUCUUGCAAUAAUAAUAUGUAAUACAAUUCUAUUCAUUAGUAUUUAUAUAUUUAUUAUUAUUAUUAUUCAUUAUUAUAUUUAUUUAUAUGUCAAGUUAGUUAUAUACAUGGUUUAAGCAUUGCAGAUAUGGCACCAGGAGGGAGACAACCCCGUUCGAGUUUUCAGCCUCCCUCUGAGGAUGAGCCUUUCCCCAUUUUCACUGCCGCACCAUUGGAGCCACCGGAAGGUGCUGCAGAGAUGAGUCCGAGUGGUAUUUUAAUAUUUUUUAUAUAAUAAAAUUUAUUUUUAAUAUAUCUGUUAGGUUUAUAGAUAACUAUCAUAUUAAUGAUUUAUUCAUUGUUGUUUCAGACCAUUCGAUGUAAGUGGUGAGGUAAGGGCGAGAUUCAUCGAAGAACCUUGCCCUGGAGCAUUGGAGAUGCAAGCAUGAGGAGUAGCGUCUCCGUAUCAAGAUUUCAUCCGACUAUACCAUGCCUAUUAGGAGAUGGUACGAGCCAUAACAAACUAAGCUAGGCAUCAUAUACCGCACUAUAUCCCUGUGAUGCUCUUCGAUUGGCGUCACGUUACACUGGCUCAAAAGAAAGUCUUCUAUAGCUAUCUAUAGAUAAAAUAAUAUUUAAUAAAAUAUUUAAUCAGUACUAUAUUCUUAUAAUAUUUAUUAUUGGCAAGCUAUAUUUGAUAUUGUCGAUUUUGAGCAUGAUUAUGUGCGACGAGCUAUAGAUGAUCAUCUAUGCUUGCAUUUCAAGGAUUACCACCAUCACAUUCAUCGCCACUAUUAUGCUGUAGUGCCAGACUAGGGGGUGGAGGCAAUGCGGCAACAGCUAUAUGACAGCAUCAGUAUCGAGGACUGGACUGUCAUAUGUCAUAGGUAUGAGAAUCCGAUAUAUCAGGUUAAGCAUCCAAAUUUUUUUUAGAAUUUAAUAAUUGAAUCAUUUAUUCUUAAGUUCAGUUAGUUAUUUACUAAUUUGACUAUUAACUGUACAUGAUCGAUGUUCUCAACAUACCGUCAAUCGGGCGAGAUAGACUAUCGUGCACUGUGGAGGUUUGAGGCUGUUCACUCACCAUAUAGAGUAGAUGGUAAGUAAUUUUUAUUUAGCAUAUUUUAACUCUUUAACUAUUUUAAAAUUUUUUUAUUAAUUAUUCUCAAACUGUAAAGUAAUAUAAAGAGUGGCGAACUUUCUGAUAGGAUUGAAAUCUACCAGCAGGCCCACCAGCGACGGUCAGGAGAGUGGACGGCGGGGAGCCAAGGGCUUUAUAUAAAUUUUUUUAAUUAUUUUUCUCAUUGAUAUUUUAUUUUCAGUAUAAAUUUAGAAUAGCUAUAACUUUAAUGUUUAGGAUCGUAUGAUGGAGAUUAAAUCUCAGCCUACCUCUGAGAGCUCAAUCGCACCCACAGAUGACGAGAUCUGUGAUCAGAUACUUGGUACGAGAUCCUAUUAUAUUAGGAGGCUAGGGUAUGAGAUUAGUGCUCUCCCAUUUUCAUACUCAUCCAGGGCUGACAUCCAUGCUACCUGUGAUGUCUGACUGGUAGAGAUACAGAGAUGGACUGCUGAGCAGAUCGAUGAAGAUCGACAGUUAAUGAGAUAAAUGAUGGAGUGAACGGUACAGAUGGAGCAGAUGAUGGAGCUGAUGAGGCAGCAGCAGGUCGGUCCGAGCUUCUCCAUCCAUUUUUUUCUCUAGAUGUUGAUGCUUGAUGACUAACGACUUAUUUUUAUAUUUUCUAUUUUAAUUUUUGAUCUCUUGUAAUUAUUAAAUUUAUUUUUUUAUAAUUAUAUUUUAAUAUAAUAAAAUUAUCAAAUUUAUUUAUGAAUUUAUUAUGUAAUUUUUAUUUUAUUUUAUAGAUUAUAAAUAUAAAAUAUUAAAAAUAUUAAUNNNNNNNNNNNNNNNNNNNNAAAUAAUUAUUCUCAAAUUACAAAGAGAUGUAGAGAGUAGCGAGCUUCCUGAUAGGAUCGAGAUCUACUAGUGGAUCAACCAGCGACGGUCAGAAAAGUGGAUGGUGGGAAGUCAGGAGCUUUAUAUAAUUUUUUUUAAUUAUUUUUUAUUAAUAUUUUAAUUUUUAAUUCAAACUUAAAAUAGCUAUAACUUUAAUUUUCAUGAUCGUAUGAUAGAGAUGAGAUCCCAAGCUAUCCCUGAAGACUCAACCGCACCCAUAGAUGAGGAGAUCUAUGAUCAAGUGCUUGAUAUGAGAUCCUAUUAUGUUAGGAAGCUAGGAUAUGGGAUCAAAGCUCUCCCAUCCUCAUGCUUGUCUAGAGCUAACAUCCAUGCUACCUGCGAUGUUCGACUGACAGAGAUAUAGAGACAAGCUACUGAGGAUCGACAGUGAGCUGAUGAGUUGGCUGUACGCAUCAAUUUCUAUCAAUUAUUCCAGACGCAGAUAAUAGAGUGAUGAAACAAAUGAUGAAAUUGAUGAGGCAGCAGCAGGCCGAUCCGUCGGCUCCAUCAAUUCUCCUUCUCCAGAUGCUGAUUAUUAUUUUUAUUUUAGAUCUCUUAUAAUUAUUAAAUUUAUUUUUUUAUAAUUAUAUUUUAAUAUAAUAAAAUGAUCAAAUUUAUUUAUAAAUUUAUUAUAUAAAUUUUUUAUUUUAUUUUAUAGAUUAUAAAUAUAAAAUAUUAAAAAUAUAAUUAAUCAAAAAAAUAUAUAUUUAUAAAUUAUUUUUAAAAAAAUAUUCUAAUUAGUGAAGGAAUUAUUUAUGAUAGAAAAUGCAUCGCAAAUAACAUUAUUUAUGAUGGAGCUAUUCCAUCGUAAAUAAUUUAUUUUUAAAAUUUUAAAAAUCUUUUUUAAAAAUAUUUGCAAUGAAAUAUUAUAAUCACAAAUAAUUUUUUUAGCGAUGGAACUAUUUAUGAUGAAAUUUUACAUCAUAAAAAUUAAUUUAUUUUAUUUUUAAAAAUAUUAAAUUUAUUUAUUAAAUUAUUAACGAUGAAAAUAUCUAUCAUAAAUAAUUUUAUUUAUGAUAAAAAUAUAUUAUUUAUGAUAAAAAAAAUUUCAUCAUAAAUAAUUUAAAAAAUAUAAAAAAAAUUAUGAUGCAAAUAUUUCAUUGUAAAAAAUAAUUUUUAGCGAUAAAAAUUUUAUUUCCAUUGUAAAAUAUUAUCUGCGAUCGUAUUUUUAGCGAUGUAGUAUGAGCGAUGAAAUUUCUGUCAUAAAUAAGUAUUUACAAUGGAAAUUUAGUAUUUAUGAUAUUUUUUUGUGUCGCAAAUACUCCUUUCUAUUGUAGUGAGCAUAAAAUAUGUAAGCUUAUCAGGUCCUUAUAUGGAUUAAAGCAAGUAUCUAAACAAUGGCAUGAGAAGUUCAAUAAUAUUAUUCUUUCUUAUGGCUUUUAAAUCAAUGAAUAUGAUAAUUAUCUCUAUCAUAAAAGAUUUGAUAAUCACUAUAUCCUUUUUUGUCUCUAUGUUGAUGAUAUCUUGAUUCUAUCUUCUAAUCUUAAUUUAACAAAUGAUGUAAAGAAUUUCUUUUCCAUCACCUUGAUAUGAAAAAUUUAGCUGAAACUAAUCUAAUCCUUGGUGUGAAGAUUAAUCGAUUCUCUGAUUCUAUUUCUCUAUCUCAAUCUUAUUAUCUCUAAUUGUUGAUUGAUAAAUUUGGGUUACUCUGAUUGUUCAACUAUAUCUACUCUCUUUGAUCUUUCUAUCCAACUCUUAAAGAACUCUUAUCAACCUAUAAAUCUAGAAAGGUAUGCUCAAGUCAUUAGAUCUCUAAUGUAUCCCUCCAAUCGAACUAGACAUGACAUUGCUCAUGUUGUUUCAAAACUUAGUUGAUAUACUAAUAAUCCUGGUAGGAUUCAUUGGAUUGCUCUUGAAAGAAUCUUUAGGUAUCUUAAAGGUACUAUUCCAUAUGGUCUUAGAUUUGUUAACUAUCCAACAAUAUUGGAAAGAUAUAGUAAUGCCAACUAGAUCUCUGAUUCAUCUAAUGUUAAAUCCACUUCUGGCUAUAUAUUUCUUCUUGAUGGUAAUACUAUUUUUUGAAAAUCAAUUUAGCAAACCAUUCUAGCUAGAAGUAUAAUAGAAUCUAAAAUCAUUACUCUUGACUAUAUCUACUCCAAAACUGAAUAGCUUAAAGAUCUUUUAUUUAAAAUUUCUUUAAUUUCAUCUCUUAUUCUCAUAUUUCAAUCUAUUGUGAUUCUAGAAUUAUAAUAAAUUUUUACAAAAAAAAACUUAUAAAUUCAAAGAUAAGUAGACAUAUAAAAGUAACAUAAAAAUUUAUAAGAAAUAAAAAAAAUUAUGGAAUUAUUUCUUUAUCUUAUGUAAAAACUGACAACUAUCUUGUAGAUUGUUUUACUAUAGGCCUAAAUAGGACUAAGGUUCUAGAGUCAUUGAGGGGGAUAAGACUUGGCCUAUAAUAAGCCUUAGAGUAGUGGGAGCCCAAUCUCUGUGAUAAGUAAUCCUUUGAAGAGGGUUUAAUGUGGUAAUAAUAAGCUAAUUGAUUGGUCAGGAAGCAUAUAUUCUUAUAUAUCUAUAGGAGUCUCCACUCCAAUCUAUCUCUAUGAUGAUUAAUACUCCUAUGUAGAUGUUAAGAAAAUGUAUACCUCUGAAUGAGUUCUGAAGAGGUAAUCUUCUUAAGAUAUGACUCUACAUACAUCCCUAGAGGGCUCACUUAUAUAAAAACUUCUGUAUAUGGCCACGGCUAGGAGACAUGGGCAAAUCCUAGAUGCUCUCACGAAUAAUAAGUUACUUAUACAUAUCUAAUAAUACAUAAUCCUAUGACAAAUCUUUCUGUACUUUGCAUAUGAUAAUUGAAGUCUAGGUCAAAAGAAUAUAAUUCAAAAUCUGAUUCAUUCUAAUUUCUUCAGUUGGAAAUUAUCUACAAUAAGUGUAGUUAAAAUACUUCACCCAUUGCAUAGUAUAAAUAUUUAUCAGAUAAAUUUUAAUUAUAUUGAUAUUAAAUAAUUGAUAUUAUUUAUUUUAAAAUUUUGAGUUUUGAGAAGGAUUAUUAAGGUGUUGGAGGGAAAACUCAAAUUUUUUCUUUCCUUUAAAGUUUUCUAAAAGUUUUGCUGAGUUCAGUCCCACAUUGGAAAGGGAUAAUCUCUUUUUGAUUUUUAUCUACCUUCUUUCCUUGCUUACAUUUACUUGAGUCAAGGCGGAAAGUGGGUUUUACACCACAUACAUGCAUUAGUCAGCUCGGCUUGCAUACAUGCAUAAAUGCGGCAUGGUUCAGUGCGGUAGCAUGAUGCAAUGCUACAAUAAUCUUAUAUUUUUAUUUUUAUUUUUUAUUUUUUUAUUUUAAAUCAUCACUAUCAUAAUGGCCAAUUGACAAUUUGAUCAAAUGAACGUAUCUCUCUUUGACUGAUCAUUUUCUAUCAUGGUCAACCAAUCAAAGCAUCUCUUUUAUUAGCAUCUUCUCGUGGUCUAUAUAAGACCACAAGUUUGAACGGCAUGGGACACUAAAAAAAAUAAUAAUUGUAUUUCUCUUCUCAAGUUUUUGCUCCCUCUCCUACUUCCUCUCUUUAGUGUCUAAAUACCCUCUAAUUCUAUUCUCUUUGCUGAGUUUUGAAAGAUCUGUCAACCCUUUCUACAAUCAUACUCCAAGAGAAGAUAUUCCGAUCAUAUCUUGGGGCAAAAUUUUUGAUAAAUACUAGCAUGAGGGUCAAAAAUUGGCCUUAGGAUGGUGAUCAUAUUCUUCUCAAUUUUAUUAUUCAUCUACAUCAUAAAUUAACAAGUCAAUCCAACCAGGCUCUCGGUAAGUCAAUUUCUUAUUUUUAAUCUUAUAAGUAGUGUUUGAAUAGAACUUAAACUCUUUCGAUUUUAUCAAAAAUACUGCUUUACUGAAACUCAUUUAAUGUUUGACUAAAAUCUUUUCACCAAAAAAAUUUUCUACAUAACAAUGCUAUGGUAAGGGAUUCCAUGGCCUCCAACUCAGUCACCCGACCCCAUUGAGCUCGACUUCCUUGUUUAUCGCUACCUUUAGGAUAUAAGUCAAGAAUUUUUCUUUCUUGUCUUAGCCAUUUUUUCCAUCAUUUAGUCUUGGUUUCUUCUUUUUAGCUUUCUUAGGUUUCUGCGGUGAUGAGUUUUUAUACUUCCUUUUUGAGGCAAGCCUAGGGUUUUGUUGUAAAGAUUUUUUAAUUCAAUGUCUAUCUGUUUUGAUUGCAAAUUAUGAAUUUUGACAGCUAAUGUUGGAGAGAUUAACCUUAAUAGCCUCUUUCUAUAUAGAUCCACCUUUUAAUAUAUCUCUUCUUAUACAUUAUAUAUAUAUAUAUACACAUAUGAGAUAGACUGGGCUCAGGUUGACUAGAUUUGAAUCCAAAUCCGAUCAGAUCCUCAAUCAUUGGAUCAGCAUGGAUUUCGAUGUAGUGAUAAAAUAGACUGGGCUCAAAUUAAUCGGAUUUAAGCUCAAAUCUGGUCAGAUCUCCAACCGUUGGAUCAGUGUGAAUCUCGAUGCAGUGAUAAAAAAGUUAAUAGAGGGGGUUUGGGAGCCAUUUGGCUGCGCUGGUAUUUGUUUUAAAAAAAAAAGAAAGUCAUAAAUGAGGGAUGAGACUCGUGCACAGACCCAUCAUUUCAAAUGGCUCCUCUCUUCUUCUCCUCUCCUCUCUCUCUCUCCAAAGAAGCUUGUUAGCUCCUCUGCUCCCAUGUCAUCGUCUACCUCUCGCCUCUCUCUCUCCAGAGAAGCUCGCCAUCCUCCUCUCCUCUCGAGCUACCAUCCUUUUCUCCUUUCAAACCCUCCAUCUGUCGGUCACCAUCCUCCUCUCCUCUCGAACCACCUACCAUCCUCCUCUCCUUCCAAGUCCCCAACCCGUCGGCCCUUCUCUUCCCCCAAACCCCCCACCCGUCGGCCCUCCUUCUCUCCUCCCAAACCCCCAUCCAUUUAACAUCCUCCUCUCCUCUCAAACCACCCAUCCAUCAGAAACUGUCCUCCUCUCCUCCCAAACCAUCCAUCUGUCAGAAACCAUCCUUCUCUCUUCCUAAACCUUGGAUCUGUUAGCCCUCCUCUCCCCCAAACCCCCCAUCAAUUGGCCCUCUUCUCCUCCCAAACCCCCACUCAUCGGCCCCCCUCUCCUCGCAAACCCCUAUCUAUCAGCCCUCCUCUCCUCCUUAAAACCCCACCAGUCUGAUGUCCUCCUCUCCUCCUAAAACACCCACCCUCAGCCACCAUCAUCAUCUCCUCCCAAACCCCCGACUUGUUAGCCCUCCUCUCCCCCCAACCCCCCCCCACCCAUUGGCCCUCCUCUCCUCCCAAACCCCCAAUCCAUCCGGUAUCCUCCUCUCCUCCUAAAUCCUCUAUCCAUCUAUCAUUCUCUCUUCUUUUCUCCUAACUCCAUCACCGCUGGCUCUUCCCCACCCUCGGCGGUUGCCAUCCGACGGCCGUCGGCCUUCUUGGGUCUUCCCCAAAUCCCACUCCAUUGCUACUGACCCUUUUCUUGCGACUUCCACUAUCAACCUUCUUGGGACUUUUCCAAACCCCACCCCACCAUCGCUAGCUCUUUUUCUCAACAUUUCUACUGCCACCCCACCACUGCCGGCCUAGUUCUGACACUUCCGGAUUUUUCCAACCCCAUCGGCACCCAAUUUCAUUCAAACAUAUAAUUCUAUAGAUAUUGCAUAGUUAUAUAAAUAUCUUUUUAUUACAUAUUUUUGAUAUUUUAGUUUAGGUAGCAGUUAAGGCCAUGUAUAUACCAACUGUGAUACCAUUCAUAAACUGAUGCAGAUGUAAUUUAAGAAUUUUUUAUUAUAUAAGCAUUGACAAUAAAGGACAAGUUAAUGAAAUUUAAGAGGAAAAUUGUGCACCAAAUAAAACACAAACACAGUCAUAUGCAUGCACAAAACACACACACAAAAUAAGUAGAAUUUACAUAAUCAUCAAACAGAUGAAAUUAGGCAUAUGUGUCAUCACUUAACAUAAAACUAAUACUAAAAAAUUAGGAAAACAUAACACCUACUUCUCAAAGUUGAUUGCCAUUAAACACCUGAUCUUUAUGCAUACUACAAAAAAAUAAUUUUUAGUGGUAAAUUGCUUAUGCUAUUUCUUAUUAUAUACCACUAAAAUCUCUUUUUUUAUUAAAUUUUGAUAAAAAUAUCGCUAUAUUUCAAUAAGUAUUUUUUUUACUAACGAUAUUUUAUCAUAAAUACUACUAUAAAUUUAUAUUUUAUGAUAUUUUAUUAUAAAUACCACUAUAAAUUUAUAUUUUAUGACAUUUAGCAAAUAUAUCAAUAAAUAAUAUCAUAAUUUAUAGAAUUUUAAAAAAUUAUCAUUAAAUUUUAAAUUAUUAAUUAUAUAUAGAGCUUGAUUUACUUAUACUGAUCUUAUAAAAUAUGUCAUUAUACAUAUAUAUUCUUAACAUUACUUAUUUAAUGAUGCAAAUGUAUGUUAAUAAGUUAAUAAACUAUACUUAUAUAUUAAUAAUAUAAGUUAUAAGUUGGUGGUUAAAUGCUUGCUAUUUAAAUAAAAGAUCAUUGGUUCAAAUCCUAUUUUUAUUUCUUAUUCUAAUUCUAAGAUAUAUAUUUUAUUUUUUGAUAAUUUUUAUCAACAUAUAAAAAAUACUGACAUUAAAAUUUUAAAGACACAUAUAUAUGCCACUAAAAUAAAAUUUUUUUUAAUAUUUUUUUAAAAAUAUCGAUAAUUAAUUACCUACAGCAUCUUAAGACAGCACAUAAAAAAAUAUCACAAAAAUAUCACUAAAGAUAUUUACGAUACUUUUUCCUACUCUAUAGUGGUACUUAAAAAUACCGCUAAUGGUCAUUUUUGUUGUAGUGACACUUAGCAUUUAACAUAUCUUUUACACUCUUGCAUUAAUAUUUUGCUCACAUUGGAGCCUAUUUUUUAUAUAGUUAAACUUGUUUUAGAAACCUAUAAUAAUAUUGAGAUAUAUUGAGCAUAUAGAAAAUGACCCAUGAUAAUAUUGGGAUAUAAUAAUCAUAUAGAAGAGGAUCGAUUUAUCUUUAGCUUUUCAUGAGCUUCUCUAAUAGCCUCUCCAUCCUUUUUCUUUCCCCAACUAUGGCCAUCUUUAUAGAAAUAUCUAAGUGUUUUUCAAUUAAAUAAGAACAUAGAACUUCCUAUGAAUCAAUAAGUUUGAAUUUAUAAGACAUCCUUUUUGAUAAGAAUCAAAUAUAGAUAAAUUAUAUAUGACAAAAGAGUAAUAGAAGCAUGUAAUAAACCAAUUAAAAGAAUAAAGAAUUUGGAGCGAUACUGGAUUAAUUUAUAGAAAAUGAGAUCAAAGAGAAACAUAUCAUAUAUAACUUGGAAUUUACAUUGUUGAUUAGAGUAAAAAAAACAAAGGGAAUUUUUAUAUCAUAUCGUAAGCAUUAUCAUAAUAUCUAUUAGAGUUAAUCUCUUUUGGCAUUAUCAUAUCAUAAGAAGAUGAUGUAAUAUUUAACUUAUAAAUUUUUUUUUAUCUCUAGUGAUAUUUGGUUGACAAUCCUACCACAUUGGUUGACAACCUUGCCACACAUUCCAAGGACCUUACCAAAUAAUUUAAAAAUAUAUUAUAAAUUUUAAUAUUUUUGUUUGUUUGCAAGAACAUGCUAAUGAAAUUCAUAGUCAAAUGAAAUUCUUAGAAAUUCUUAAAAUGCACAUUUUUAGCUGCAUUACUUAUAAAUAUAUACAUACAUGCUUAUAUGUAGCAAUGCUAGUGCCAUAUUUAGAUAUAAAUUUUUUUCAGUAGAUCUAUGUAAAAAUGGGAUACGGUCAUCAUAGAUUGUUAUUAGAAACUAUAGUAAGCGUAAAGUGAAGUAUCCUCUCUCUUAUAGUAAGAUGCUUAAUUUAUUAAUUUAUUAUUUAUAUUUUUUUAUAGUAAGUUGUAAAUAACUUAUAAUUGACCUCUAUUAUUUCUUGUAGAUAGCUCAUGCCUUUGUUGUGCUUCUAGGAUUUUGAAACCAAUGGCAUGUCAGUUGUCAUACAAAUUCUAUUUGUAACUAUUUUUAAAUUUUAAUCUUAUUCAUUCAUAAAUUUAUAUUUGCUCCAUCAUGUGAAUUUGUGUCUCCCAUGAUAAACAACGGGAGAGGAGAAUAAAGAUAAUUUUUUGAUGAAAAUAAUCACAAACUCUUUAGAGUAAAUAUGAAUGGCCCAAGAAUAAACAUAAACUUAGGAAGUUGUAAUAUUAUCUUCUGUGGAACCAUAUCAAGAUAAAUAAAAACUAUUCUAGAAUAAACAUAAAUUUUAUAUAAUAAAUAGAAACUCCAUAUCAUAAAUAUAAACUCUAUGGCGAUAAAUACAAACUAUCUAAAAUAAAUACAAACUCAAGGAUCCAAACUUUAUUCAUCCAAGGAUCCUUCUAAGAUGAAUAACAAGAAAGGAGGAUAAAUACUAACUUCUGAUGAAAUAAAUAUAAAUUAUGUGAGGAUAAAUACAAACUUCAUAUAAUAAACAUAAAUAUAUUUAGGAUAAACAUAAAUUUUAGAGAUUGCUCUCUGUCUUGUAUGGAAUCAUGGUAGGAUAAAUACAAAUAAUUUUGAAAUAAAUAUAAAUUCUAUAUAAUAAAUAAAAAUUUUAUAUAAUAAACAUAAGCUCAACAAUGAUAAACAUAAAUCGUUCAGAAUAAAUACAAAUUCAAAAACCAAAUCUUGGAUUAUUCAAGGAUUCUUCCAAGAUAAAUAACAAGAGAAAAAAAUAAAUACUAACUUUCAGUAGAAUAAAUGAAAACUAUGUCAGAAUAAAUACAAACUUUAUAUAAUAAAUAUAAACAUAUCUAGGAUAAAUACAAACUUUAGGAGUUGCUCUCUAUUUUGUAUGGGAUCAUAGCAGGAUAAAUAUAAACUAUCUAGAAUAAACACAAAUAUUGUAUAAUAAAUAAAAACUUUACAUAAUAAACAAAAAUUCUAUGACGAUAAACACAAUCCAUCCAUAAUACAUAUAAACUCUAAGACCAAAUCUUGGGUCAUCCAAAGAUCUUUUCAAGAUAAACAAUAAGAGAGGAGGAUAAACAUAAACUUCAUAUAAUUAAUAUAAAAAUAUCUGAGAUAAAUAUAAACUUUAGAGAUUGUUCUCUAUCUUGUAUGAGACUAUAGUAGGAUAAAUAUAAACUAUUACAGAAUAAAUAUAAAUAUCAUAUAAUAAAUACAAACUCUACAGUGAUAAGCAUAAACCAUUCAGAAUAAAUACAAACUUAGAGACUAAAUCUUGGAUCAUCUAAAAAUCCUUCUAGGAUAAACAAUAAGAGAGAAAGAUAAAUACUAACUUCUGUUGGAAUAAAUACAAACUCUAUAUAAUAAAUACAAACAUACUCAGAAUAAAUACAAACUUUAGAUAUUACUCUUUGUCUUGCAUGGGAUCAUGACAGGAUGAACAUAAAUUAUCUCAGAAUAAAUAUAAACUUUAUAUAAUUAAUAGAAACUCCAUAUAAUAAAUAUAAAUUUUAUGAUAAUAAAUACAAAUCAUCCAAAAAUCAUCGAUAUUUUAUUUAUUCUGGAUGAUUUAUGUUUAUCACUAUAAAAUUUAUAUUUAUUAUAUGAAAUUUUUAUUUAUUAUAUAAAAUUUAUAUUUAUUUUGGAUAGUUUAUAUUUAUCUUACCAUUAUCCUAUACAAAAUAGAAAGCAACCCCCAAAGUUUGUGUUUAGUCUACACAUAUUUAUAUUUAUUAUAUAGAGUUUGUAUUUAUUAUAUAGAGUUUAUAUUUAUUCUGAUAUAGCUUGUAUUUGUUCCAUUAAAAGUUAGUAUUUAUCCUUAUCUUUUAUUGUUUAUCCUAGACUCUUAGAUGACCCAAGAUUUCAUUUUUAAGUUUGUAUUUAUUCUGGAUGAAUAGUAUUUAUUCCCACAGAGUUUAUGUUUAUUAUAUGAAGUUUCUAUUUAUUUUAUUAAAUUUAUGUUUAUUCUAAGAUAGUUUGUAUUCAUCUAGCCAUUGUCCUAUACAAGAUAGAGAGCAACCUCCAAAGUUUGUAUUUAUCCUAGGUAUUAUUGUGUCUAUUAUAUAAAGUUUAUAUUUAUUUUCAUAUAGUUAAUCAUCAUUCUAUCAGAAGUUAGUGUUUAUCCUCCUCUCUUGUUAUUUAUAUCUUAUAGGAUCCUUGGAUGAUCAAGGUUUGGCACUCGAGUUUAUGUUUACUCUAGAUGAUUUAUGUUUAUCACUGUAGUAUUUAUAUUUAUUAUAUAGAUUUUUUAUUUAUUAUAUAAUAUUUAUAUUUAUUUUAGGAUAAUCUAUGUUUAUCCUGUCAUAGUCCCAUAUAAGAUAGAAAGCAACUCCUAAAGUUUAUGUUUAUCCUGGAUAUGUCUGUAUUUAUUAUGUGAAGUUUAUAUUUAUUUUCAUAUAGUUUAUGUUUAUUCUACCAAAAGUUAAUGUUUAUCCUCCUCUCUUAUUGUUUAUCAUAGAAGGAUCUUAGAAUGAUCUAAGAUUUGAUCUCUAAAUUUGUAUUUAUUCUGUACGAUUUGUAUUUACUACCAUAGAGUUUAUGUUUAUUAUAUAAAAUUUUUAUUUAUUACAGAUUUAUAUUUAUCAUCAUAUAAUUUAUAUUUAUUAUAUAAAAUUUUUAUUUAUUAUAUGGAGUUUGUGUUUAUUCUGAGAUAGUUUAUGUUUAUCCUACCACGGUCCCAUACAAGAUAGAGAGCAACCCUCAAAAUUUGUGUUUAUCCUGAGAAUAUUUAUUUUUAUUAUAUAGAGUUUGUAUUUAUUCUCAUAUAGUUUAUGUUUAUUUUAUAAGAAGUUAGUUUUUAUUUUCUUCUCUAAUUGUUUAAUCUGGGAGCACCUUUGGAUGAACAAAGUUUUGAUCACUGGAUUUAUAUUUAUUCUGGAUGAUUUGUAUUUAUCGCUACUAAUUUUUUAUUUAUUAUAUAGAGUUUUUAUUUAUUAUAUAAAAUUUAUAUUUAUUCUAAAAUAGUUUGUGUUUAUCUUAUCAUAAUCCUAUACAAGAUAAAGAGUAAUCCCAAAGUUUGUGUUUAUUCUGAGCAUGUUUGUAUUUAUUAUGUGGAGUUUGUAUAUAUUCUCAUAUAGUUAGUGUUUAUUUCAUUAAAAAUUAGUAUUUAUCCUUUUCUCUUAUUUUUUAUCCUAGGAGAUACCUUUUGGAUAAGCCAAUUCUUUAGAAAAAAAUUUUGUGUUUAUUAUGGAGAGUUUCUAUAUAUUCCAGAAAAUAAAGUUUAACAUGGAUACGAGUAAUACAUUCAUUCAGAAUAAUAUACACCCAUAUAUCUUUACAUCUUAACGUCUAAAUAUCAUAUACAUCACUUACAUAUAAUAUGUAUCCAAGUUAAAAUAGUAUCCAUCAUAAUAAAAUUAUAAGCAAAUAAUCUAAAACAUUGGUGAGCCUAUGUGAUCAUCGAAUUGUGCUUCCUCAGAUGAUUUGUCACUGAUGUAGACUUUGAAAUCAUCUCCCUGCACCAAUAAAUCACAUGAAAUAUAACAUAAUUAAUUAAAAAGAUGUAGCAUUUACUAACGUUUGUCUUAACAUGGGUCAGUUUGUGCUAAACCACUUUGUAUUAUCUAUUAUAAAGAGAGAAUAAGAGCAAGAGAGAGAAUGAGAGGUGUUUAUAAUCACCUUGCGAGAGAGAGGGAGAGAGAGAAUAAGAGAAGUUUGUGCUGGCAAGAGAAAGAUGGAGAGAGAAGGAAUAAGAGAUAUUUGCAUUAGAGAGAGGGAGAGAAGUUUCUGCCAAUAAGGUAUUUGUGCUAUAGAGAGAGAGGGAGAGAAGUUUCUGCCAGCUAGAGGGAGAGAGAGAACAAAAUGUGUUUUAUCAGUGAGAGAGAGGAAAGAAUUCUAUUUGAAAGAUAUCUCAUCCCCUAUUGUGUCCCAUCCCCAUUCACAUAUAUAUUUUUUAAUUAUUUUCAAACACCAUCUCAUUCAAACAAAAGGUUUACAAUGAGAGAGUUUCUCUUUUUCUACGCCAUCCUUAUUAAGAUAUUUUUUUUUCAAACACCACCUCAUCCAAACAAAAGCCCAUACUAAUUCCAUCCCUUAUUUAUGACUUUCAUUUCUUUUUAAAUAACACCAGCUCACCCAAACGGCUCCCAAACCCUCUCCAUUAGCUUUUUAGCAAUGCAUUAAGGCAUCGAUCCAAUGGUUGGGGACCUGAUUGGAUUUGAGCUCAGAUACCAAUCAACCUGNNNNNNNNNNNNNNNNNNNNGAUAUAUAUAUGUGUGUGUGUGUGUGUGUGUGUGUGUGUGUGUGUGUGUGUGUGUGUGUGUAUAAAAUAAAACUAUAGGGAACCUCCACAUAUCUCAAUUUAAGCCCAAAUUGCAUGGCAUAAGUUGAACUCAAAGGGUGAUCCAACUGUAACUUCAUUCCAAGCUCUAUUAGAUUUAAGUAUAGGCAAUUUAGCAAUGUUGAUGAUUAUUUGCAUGAGUUCAGAAUUAUCCCAAUAUGUAGCCUUUGUAGGUUUCACACAUUUGCCACAAGUUAAUUACAACUAUGAAUUCAUCCUUUCUUUCGGUAAAAUUUAUGCAUAAACAUAAGAUGGAGAUCAUAAUUGUUAAUUGAUUGUGCAAAAGUAGGCCAUGGAGCAUGGUUGUCAUGACCUUAUGAUUUACAUUUUAGAUGUUACAAUGUGGAUCAGAAAAGAUUUGAACAAUCUAAUCUCGUAGUUGGAUUGGAAUCAUAGUGGUUGUAAAAAUCCUAGCCUUAUUAGAUCAUAUACCUUACUUGGAUAAUGAGAUUGAACCUAAUUAUGUUUUGUACAUUUUUCUUAUGAAGAAACUCCAUUUUUAAGACCUAUUCUUUUGUGGAUAAAUAUUAUGAAAAAAUUGAUCAACUUUUUUAUUGACCAACUUACUUAUAUUCUCACACUUUUCUAGGUGGAUAAAUCAUUUUUUAUGGAUAACAUUUAUUCAUAAAAUGAAAAAAAAAUCUUACCCAUCUAGGAGGUGGUUAAGUCAUUUUCCUAUCAACCAGAUAUACCCCUACAUCCUAAUAAUAACAUAAUAAUAUAUAAUACUAUCUUAUAUAUAAUAUAAUAUUAUUAUCCAAUAAUGAUAUUUUAUUAUUUUAAGAUAAUAUAUGAUUAUAAUAAUAUGAUGUUAUAGUAUAAUAUCUUAUUUUAUUAUUACAUCUUAUAUUAUUAUUAUAAAAUAUAAUAUAAUAAUAUAUUAUUUUAAUAUAUAUUAAUUUAUAUACUAUAUUAUAAUAUAUAUUAUUUUAUUAUAUAUAAUAUAAUUUAUUUUAUGAUAUUAUAUGUUAUAUUAUCUAUAUUUUUGGAUAUAUAUUAUAUAAUAUUUAUAUUAUAAUAUAUAAAAUAUAAUAUAUUAUUAUAUAAUAUAUUAUAAUAUAUUAUUAUAUAUAAUAAUAUUUAUAUAAUAAAAGAUAAUAUGAAAAAUAUGAAUAGAUCUUAGUAACUUAUCCAGAAAACUAGUAAUACAAAAGAAUAUAGAUGACAGAUUCUCGAGUUAUUUUUUAAUAUAUAAAAUAAUAUGGAUAAAUUAUUUUUCUAUAUAAAUAUUGUAUAGAAAAUACUUAUCAAGAAAAUAUAGAUUUCUGGAUAAAUUUUUUACCCUCAAAAGAAUGGAUCCUUAUGGUGUUAUCUGAUACCUUGGCUUUUAGAAUGCCUGUUUGAACUAUUGGCUUCUAGAGUUAAUUGUCAUCAGCAAAAAUUCUAGCUCAUAAAAUUAGCAUGUUCCAUAGAAGACUUUAACCUAGAGUUUUUAGAGCAAUAAAGAAGUGGCAAAGCAAUAUACUUUUGCAGCCAUUUGUCGAAACUUGAUUCUUUCAUGUCUAGUACAAGGAGUGAGCUUCGGCUCAACUCAUGUCUAGUACAAGGAGUGGGCUUCGCCUCAACUCAUAUUUAAUACAAGAAGAGGCUUCAACUCAACUCGUAUAUAAUACGAGGAGUGAGGUUUGACUUGAUACAUACUGGCACCAAGAGCGGCCUUCAACUUACAACUAAUAUAAUGAGCUGACUUUAGCUCGACUCGUAUCUAAUAUGAGAAGUAGGCUUAGGCUUCGGCUCGACUCACAUGUAAUAUGAGAUUUAAGCUCGACUCAUGUCUGGCAUGAGGAGUGUCGGGAUCUUUUUUCGGGUUAUCCCCUCCAUUUGGUUGAAGGUCAGCUUUCGCUUAUCUCAUACGUGGAUAAGAAGUGCUUCAUAUCCGGCUCAACUCACAUCUUGUAGGAGUCAUCUUUGGAUCCCUCUUUAUGUUAUCCCCUCCAAUGUGUUAAGGUCGGUGUAUGCUCUCUUUAUACUCAAACAAGGAAAGAUCCAUCGUGCUCUCCUUAUUCUUGAAUGAUGAGAGGUUCGUCAUGCUCUUCUCAUACUCAUACAAGGAGAGGUCUAUUAUUCUCCAUUAUACUCUUCUCGUGUGUAGAUGAGGAGAGAUCUAUCAUGCUCUCCUAGUGCUCCAUGGAGGAGAGGUCCAUCAUGUUGUCCUCAUACUCGAAUGAGGAGAAGUCUAUCGUGCUCCAUCGCGCUCUCUUCAUGCUCAGAUGAGGAGAGAUCGAUCAUGCUUUUUUCAUACUUGGACAAGGAAAGGUCCAUCAUGCUCAGUUAAGGAGAGUCUGUCUCAUUCUCCUCAUACUUAGAUGAGGAGAGGUUUGUCAUGCUCUUCUCAUACUCAAACGAGGAGAGACCCACCAUGCUCCAUGUUGCUCUUCUCGUACUCAGACAAGAAGAGGUCCGUCGUGCUCCGUCAUGCUCUCUUCCUACUCGAACAAAGAGAGGUCCACCACGCUCUCCUCCUGCUCGGAUAAAGAGAGACCCACCACACCCUCCUCCUGCUCAGAUGAGGAGAGGUUUGUCGCACUCUCCUUGUACUCGGAUGAGGAGAGGUCUAUCUUUAACUCGACAUGCAUCCUAUUCAAGGAGCACCAAAGUUCCUUUCUGGGUUGUCUCCUCCAAUUGGCCAAGGUCAACUUACACUCAACUCAUACUCAAAUGAGGAGCACUUCAUACACUAUGUGCACAGUGCUCAUAUCUUGAAUGGUGUGGAUGGAUGGCCCCUCAGGACUUGCAUCAUGGUCUCUCAAGAUGCACAUUCUAGUCUCUCAAGAUGCAUGUCCCGUGCAGGAAGGUGGUAACAGUCGAGAAUGGCUGUGAAAGAGGGGUCAACCACUAACGUGCUUGAGGAUGCAUCGACAACAAAAUUAUUACUGAAGAUGCUCAAAUCUAGUAAAGAAAGAAUGUAGGAUAUGUUCUCGUAUUCUCACGAACAAUAUCAAUCUAUUGCUGUCAAAUUCUGGCCUAAUUAAGAUAGCUUGGAGGGUGUUGAUCGAUAUGCUCGACCCGUGGUGGUGGAAGAUGGAGCAAUGAUCGUCUUUAAAGGAUUGUGGAUUUAUACACACAACAAAAAAGAGAAAAGCUCCUAGGAUUGGCUCCGAUCGGAUUCUCUGAUGCCUAGGUCAGAUAGGAUUUUAGAAGAACAACAAUAAAGAGAGAAUAUAAUUAAGAAUUAGAAUAGUAUAAGAUAUUGUCAUGCUCUGAUUGGCCUAGUAUUGGUCGGCUUUUACUCGAUCUUUUUAUUUUGGCCUUCAUCGACCUUAGGAUUAGUAUUUAGGAGCUUGGCCUUUGAGAGCUUGGCCUUCGGGAGUUCGGUCCUUUGGAGCUUGGUCUGUGGGCUCCUCACCUCAACAUUAGCCUUAGCUUUCACUUUGGCCCUAGUCUUUACCUAAAUUUCGACCUUCACCUCAGCCUUUGCUGCUCAAAGGUUGUGGUUCUUCAAGAAAGAGAAGCAAAAUGAUGGAUGAAGGUUUGAGAGCCUCUCAAUAUAAGAUCUUUAAGCUAUAGGAUUUUUUCUCUUUUGGAGCUUAUUUUUAUGGGUCUCCUUUUUCCUGUUCAUAUAGGUGAGGAAGUAUGGAUCCGUCAUAAUUUAGAGAUGAAAACCAAGGGAUUUCCGUAACCUCCUUCUUUAUCUUGAUUCAAAUAUGUUGUGAUCUCCUUCCUUGUUUAGAUUCUGCCAAGAAUUUAAUUUUUGAAUUCAAAUCUUUUCUUGCCACAUGUCCAUUCAUGAUGGAUAGGCUAAUUUCAUGCCAUGUCAAUGUCUAUUAUUUUUCAUUUACAGAAAUCUACGUAAACACAUAUAUAGCCACAGUUCAUAUAGAGUUUGGCAUGGCCAGCUACCAUGGCUCGGCUAAGCAACAAGAAGAUCUAAGGGGCCCACCUUAGAUCAAGCCAAGGACCACUUAUACUAUGCUCAAUCACAUCCAAUUCCCAUUUCAAAACUAUACAUACCUCAAAACAAAGACCAAGUUCAACGGCCAACCAUCAAAGCAAUGUCCUAUGUUAAACCUAACGCUUGUGUAUCAUGCUUUUGUUUUGUUAGCUAUAUUAGAAUGAGUUAGGCAUUAGUGGCAUUGAAAAGCACCAUCAUCCUAGUGCUUGCCAAAUGCUUUCCGCAAGCCAGUCGCUUGCCAUUUCAUUCUUCCCCCAAAAGAGAACAUUCACAUAUCUUGCAUUAGGCACGUGCUAGCGGCUGCAUAGGGAGGGCUAUAGCAUGACAACAUGCCACCUUGUUACAAUUAUCUUUAGAGAUAUUACUUAUUUUCCUAUUUGUAUUCAUGAAAAGUCAGCCUAGAAUCUUUUAAAGUGCCACUUUCCUAUAAUUGCUACAGCUUGGCAGCCAAAAGGUAGCUUACAUUCUAGGAAAAUGUUUGGUGGACAACUUUGUGUAAAAGUUCUGUAAAAUAGCUAGCAUGUCAUAUUUACCAACAUGAUAUCAGAUGAACCCAUGAAAGGCAUUUAGAAAUUCUUCUUUGUAACCCAACUAAUGUUAUGCACAAUGAACAAAGACACAAGAUCAAUUGUGCCACAAGGCUUUCCAACUGCCACUCAAUUGAUCAAAGCAAUAAAUUUUAAAAUAGUGCAACUAUGAGUCGGAUCCAAAUUAUUGGUAACCAGUAUUUUAUGACUUUAUCAACUAAACUAAUUGGUGUCCAUAUGAACUUUACCAACUAAGCCGAUUAGCAUCCAAUCUCUUAAAAUAUUCUACACAACAUUAAUCUUUACAAGAUCUUGCGGUAGCCAAAUGUACAUGUUGCAAACCACAAAACAAUCACUAUGUGCAACCAGAAUGUAUCCAAAUAAUAUUGUACAUUUGGAGGCCUAGACAUCUGGUCUGAGCUCAUCGGUUCAAUGAAAAACCCUGUUUGGAUCCUUAUUGGAUCAUUUAUCGUUACACGGUAUUUUGUCCAAAUUAUUAUUUACAUUGUAACAAGGGAUAUAAUGAGGUAACAUGAUGUCCCAAAAAAUGAUCUUAGUAAAUUAUUUUUUUUCUCCGUUCAAGUCCGUUCACUCAAAAAUAAUUUUAAAUAUUUAUAAAUAUAAAAUUUAAUUAAUUUAUAAUUUAAUAUUUUUUAUAAUUAGACCACGAAUCUUACAGAAUUUUGAUCUAACUAUCCAAACAUCCCCUCAAUUCGGAUAUCGAACCCGCGAUGAAAAAAUCACGCGAAGGGUGCACCCGUCAACCGCUCCUCCCUUUUUUUUAAACCGUCAACGCGCAGGGCAGUGUACGAGAAGGCAGAACCAGAGGGGAACUGGGGAAGCCAGCCGGGCUCGUGGAAAUCAAAAUAAAAAAGGCUCCACUCCGCUUCCUCUUCGGUUUCGUCACGUCUCUUCUCCCCUUUUUGUCCGCUGGGCGCUCGUCCCGGCCACCGUCGCUAGCGAUGGCCAGGAAUCCCACGGAGUCCAAUGAUGAGCUCAAUUACCUCGUCCUCCGAUACCUCCUGGAGUCCGGUCGGUUAAGAAUCUCUCUUUUCUUGGCUUUUCUUGAUCAUCUUGACCUGAUUUCUGCUUGGAUUUCACUUUUCCUAGGUCUCUAGGGUUUCUUGAUGCCAUAUGGCUUUGAUUAGAUUUUUUUUCCUCUUUUUCUUGAUGGUAGUGCUUUGUUGUAGAGGUUUCUGAAUUUGAUCCCUUGUUUUGCCAUUUGAACGGUGUUUUAUGGCUCAUGUAUGAGUUUGGUUGUGAAAUUCUGUCAAUCAUGUUGGCUUCAAUGUGAUGAUAGUAGAAAAUUAUCCUUUCCUCUUUGCCUCUAAUUCAAACUUCCAUUAAAUGGCAAGGAAGAUUGAUCUGUGUUGUAGGAAUUUGCCUCUGCCAUGCAAUUGGUCGUGGUAAUAAAAUCUGCUGCAAUAGGGUGAAACAAAAAGAAAAUAGCGGUGGGCUGUUUAUUUUUAAGUUAUAUUAAGUAGAUAUAAAUAUAUUAUUAUAUCAAGUUUUGACGUGUAACUCAAAGAAAUGCUAUUGUUUUCCAUCGAGAUGCAUAAAGAUAAUGUGCCAAGAAGAGAAGCAAAGCAACAUAAAAGAAACUAAUAAAGAUUUUGCUGAAGUACCAAGCAGAUUUAAUCUUUUCUGUAUCCUAUUUUUUACCAAGAGUUGGUAUUUAGGUUUCGUUUAGUCGGAGGGUUGACUCUUUAAGUUCUCGGAUCAUUUUUUUCUUGUCUACUGUUUCUUCAGUUGUGGGGGCUACUUAAAUGUGGAGGGCUUAUAGUGUGGCGAGCCAGAAUCAGUCAAGCUCUCACCACUGCAUUAACAGAUAGAGAGAUAGAGGGAGAGCUUCCUCAGAUGAUCAAGAGUGAAAUGUUUGGAGAACUGAUGCAUGAAUCUAAGGCAUUGAUCAUGUGGAUGUGAACUUCUGUGGCGGUGGAAUCCUUUUUAUAUCUUCCUUGUUUUUAUCAAAAGUGAGUUGAUUAAGACAAGGUAGGGAAAAAUAUUAUCAACUAUUAAGGACAUGCACUGUGGAGGUCAGUUAGGCUAGGGAUAAUAUGGAUCUUUGGCAAUAUUAUAGCACCCACGAUCCAUGCUUUCCAACCUGCCUCAACACUUGGUCGAAACAUAGUUGCCACUGUCAUAAGUUUAAUUGAAGCUAUGCUACAACCAGCCUGAGUUUUGCCUUAAGUGAUCUAGUGUGAUUAGAUCCCAAGUUAUGUACAAAAUCAAAUUUUAGCUUAAAGAAUUUGAUCAUGUCCAUGAUUUUUCUAUUUUCUAUGGUCUAUUUAAAAUCUUUAAAGAUAAAGAAUCACCCGAAUUGUCUCAACUCUAUCACUUUGAAGUUAACUGCCACUAACAAUUCUUCCUCUAACUACAUUUAAUGCAUAAAAGUAGAAUUGAGGGCAAGCUUUUCAAUUAGCUGUUUAAAUUUUAAAACUAGCUAUGAAAAUGAGUCAGUUUGGGUCUUGGCCUAAAUAUGAAUGAAUGUGCUUUGAGUUUAAGAUCUAGACCCAAAUCUCAGCCAUCCACGUCAUCAGUUAUUAAGCCAAAAGAUUUAAUCUAAAUAUUUCAUUCAACAUUUAUUGGUCUAGUUAGGUCUAUUUUUGUUCAGUUGAUCAAGUCCAGAUGUGAGAUGAGUUGGUUGUCCGUACCAGAGCUAUUUGUUUGAACUUCAGUUAUGAGUCUCGUCCAACUUGAGUCAGCCACUAGUCAAAGUUAAAUGUACAUGAUCCACUAGCAUUGCUAUUCAACAGAAUGGGACUGAAGUGUUCUCGUAAUUCCUUUUUUUUGGAUUGGGCUAGCUGAAUAAUCUUCAUAUGUUUAUCUUGUAGUUUUCCUUCUUCUGAGUUCAGGCUUUCUUACUUUUAAAUAAGGAUGAGUGGAUUUAAAAAUAUCAAAGUGCAACUUGUGUGAUAAUGAAAAUUCUUGUUAGGCUGAGCAUAUAAAUCAGUGGUGUCUAUUGAGUGAUGCAGCUCACCUCAAUAUAAACUGUACCUGAAUUGGCUUCUGGUGGUGUGACCAUCUGAAGUCCACUUGUUUCUUCUUUUGUUUGGCUUUGCCUUCAAAUAAUGCUUGAGUACCAUCUACCUCUGUGUAAACACCUUAAAUACACAAACCAUAUAAAAGGUACUUAUAAGCUUGAAUACUUUAAACAUUUUGCAUUUUGGGCAUCAUGGCAGAUAUGUUGAUUUACAUUGAAAGUCAAGUGUUAAAUCUCAGCUAUAUAACAUGUAAUCUGAUGACACAAUCAUGUGUUUAGUUCCUAAAGGCUUGCGAUGCCUUUCAAUUGCCAAGUAGAAAAUUGUUGUACUAGUUAUGGUGGCCUUGUUUCCCUUUCUUUUCAUGCUCUUAGUUCAUUUGUGUCUUGCUAGAAUCGACCUGAGUUUAUUGUGUAUUUUACAAUCUUGCUUUCAUCUGACACUACUUAUUUCCAGGAAGAAAUCUCGCAUGAUUGUAAGGUUAGUGCUAUAUGAAAACCUAAGAUCCUAUUUCUUUUUAGGUUUCACAAAUGCAGCAUUUGCUUUUGGAUAUGAGUCAAGGAUUAAUAGAACUCCUGUCGAGGAAGAUCUAAUUCCAUCUGGUACUCUUGUUGCAAUUGUACAAAAGGGCCUUCUGUACAAAGAAUUGCAAGAAAAGUUGGGCAACGUAAGUGUAUUUGCAUCACUAUUAAUCAAGUUGAUAACUUAACUAUGCACUUGAUUUGUCUAAGGCGUGAUAUUUCAUAUUUUAUUGAAUAACUUUUGUCUAUUAGCUUAUGAUCCUUGUUUAACUUUGCAGGGUAAUUCCAACCUCAUGACAAAAGACAUCAAUGAAAUACAACAAAUGAUAAAAGAAAAGAAAGAAAAAAUUAAAAAGGAGCGAGAAAAGGAAAAUAAUAAUAAAUGUG
rnacentral:lncRNA from 1 species